CUGAGAUUGCCAGAGAAACACAGGUUCCAAUUCUUUCUUUUGCUGACACAGCUCCAGAAUGGGCACCUGAACGAUGGCCUUCUCUUCUUCAAGCUUCACCUGAUAAGCGUGCUCAAAUGAAAGCUGUAGCUGCUAUUGUGCAAUCGUGGAACUGGCAUCAGGUCAUUGUGAUAUAUGAAGAUACAGAUUCUUCAGCAAGGGGAGUCAUACCACAUCUACAUGAUGCCCUUAGAGAAGUUAAUUCAGACGUAAGCCAAUUUGUAGCCUUCUCUCCUUUUGCUUCUUCUGAUUCAAUGUACAAAGAGCUUGAAAAUAUCAAAAGCAAGCAGUACUGUACAGUCUUUGUUGUUCAUUUGUCCUUCAAAUUGGCUGUGCGGUUAUUUGAAAUGGCAAAGAAAAUGGAAAUGAUGCAAAAGGACUAUGUAUGGAUCACAACAGAUCCCAUUACAAGCCUUGUCCAUUCCAUCAAUGCCUCUGUAAUAUCCUCAAUGCAAGGAAUUCUAGGAGUCCGGAGUUACUACCCUAAAAUGGGACAGGAUUUCGAGAACUUUAAGCAAAGAUUUCGUACACGUUUUAGCAGAAAAUAUCCCCGAGAAGAAAAGAAAGAGCCUGGGAUUUACGCCGUGCAAGCGUAUGAUGCUAUGAGGACAAUAGCUCUUGGAUUAGAUAAGACCGGAAGUAAAAGGGGAGGGAAAGAGUUGUUGGAAAACAUUUUGGACGCAGACUUUCAUGGUUUAUCAGGUAAAGUUAAAUUCAAAAACCAUAAUGUUGCUGCAGCAGAAAUAUUUGAGAUCGUGAAUGUAAUAGGUACGGGUUACAAUAAAAUCGGGUAUUGGUCCAAUGGAUUUGGAUUCUCGGAGAAAAUCCAUGAAAAUUCUAGUUAUAACAGCUCGUCGAUGAUUGAUUUGGAGCAAGUGCAUUGGCCAGGGGGGCCUAGGUAUACUCCAAGAGGAUGGACUCCGCUGAGAAGUGCUAAGCGAUUGCGAAUCGGAGUGCCUUCCAUUUCAGGCUACGAAGAAUAUGUGAAAGUGGAAAGUGAUGAUCGCUUGGGAACGAACUCCUCUGGUUUUGCAAACGAGGUCUUCAAAGCAAUGACAGCAAGCAUGCCAUUCUUUCUGCCAUACGAGUUCCAAUACUUCAAUGGAAGUUACAAUGAACUUGUAGAGCAACUUCAUCUAAAGGUAAGAGGCAGCUUGAUAGAGUAAAAUGAUUAAUUAAAUUUUCAUUAAUUGAUCAUGCAUGCACGCAUAUUCUGAAAAAAAAGAAAAGAAAAAAUACUUUAGACUAAUCAUACUUUGUUGUACUUGGACUUUUUGCCCACAACACCAGAAUUUUGACGCAGCUGUUGGUGAUGUGGAAAUAGUUGCAAGCCAAUAUGCAGAAUUCACCUAUCCAUUUACUGAAACAGGAUUGGUGUUGAUCGUCCCGGUCCGUUCGAGCAGUAAAGCAUGGUCGUUUAUUAAACCGUUCACCACAACCAUGUGGGUUUUAAUCUCAGUGAUUACAGUCUACAAUGGCUUUGUUGUUUGGUGGAUAGAGCGAAAGCAUUGUGAUGAACUACAAGGCUCCAUCACAACUCAAAUUGGGAUCAUGAUUUGGUUAUCCUUCAACACUCUUUUCUCCUUGAAUGGUAAAUUAAAGUUUUUAGUUCCAAUCAGUUUCCUUCUUUGAUUAGAACUUUUGAAAAUAUAUAACCAAUCCUUUAACAAGCAAUUACUUAACAAUAUCUUGCUGACAACAAUUUGUUUUAGGGCCAAAGCUUCAUAGCAAUCUAUCAAGGAUGUCAGGGGUGGUGUGGCUGUUUGUGGCUCUAAUCAUCAUCCAGACGUACACAGCCAACCUCACAAGCAUGCUAACUGUACAGAGGCUUGAACCCACUAUACCAACCGUUGAAGAACUAUUAAAUAGCAAUGAAAUGGUUGGAUAUUGUACAGGUCCCUAUAUGGAAAGAUAUUUGGCGGAAGUUUUAAAAUUCAAGAACCAAAACAUGCUGUAUUUUCAGUCAGCAGAAAGUUAUGCUAAAGGCUUCGAGGACAAGAAAAUUUCUGCUGCCUUUCUUGGAAUUCCCAGUGCCAAGAAAUUCCUUGCAAAAUACUGCAAUAGCUUCAUCCAAAUUGGACCAACGUACAAAAUUGGAGGGUUUGGAUUUGUAAGAUCUCGCGCUCAUAUUUAUUCACCUUUUCCAUUCAUUAAUAAUUUUCCUGAAAUUACUAUUGCCAAACCAAAAUAUGCAUAUAGGAUUAGUUCUUGUAAAAUUUGUAUUAGGGCCAGAGGCUUUUUGUUGACUUUGUAGGUAGGUUGGACCACAAAUUACAAGGUGUUGAGUUUGACCAAAGGAAACUAACAAUGAAAUCUUUGAUUUUGAACAAAAUUAGUGGGAGAGAUAUCUCUUAAUUAGAUAGGUUCAAUGAAUCAUUAAAUAUAAGUUGAAUAAAUUAGUAGGUUAUGGUAAAAGACACAUGCCUAAUCUUAGGCUUAUUUGCUUCGAAAUACUAACAUGUGGAAAUAUAUAUAUAUAUAUAUAUAUAUAUAUAUAUAUGAAUUAAACAUGAACUUAAGGAGUGAUUAAAUUUUUACAUGGUUAAUUUGUUUUCCAGGCGUUUCCGCGUGGAUCUCCAUUACUUGCUAGCGUGAACGAGGCUCUACUGAAUUUAUCAGAAAAGGGAGCGCUACAAGAACUUGAGAGAACAUGGAUUACCCCACAAAAAUGCGCGAAGAUGCCAAGUGAUGACAGCCUUGGUCCCAGUGGAUUUCGAGAACUUUUCUUUAUAACUGGAGGCACAACAACAAUUGCCUUCGUCAUAUACGUUUGUCGCACUAAUUUGUUGAGGCAUAAAAACAUAUGGGGAAUUAUCUUAGCUGUACUGAAACGGUGGGUCUCUCCGAGGAGGCACUUCACUAGAAGAGUAGCCAGCAUAGAAAUUCCACUACCAGAAAUUCACCUACAACCAACAGAAUUAUCGACAAAAUAAUUAUGUCAGUAAAUUGUGGUGAUAAUUACUGACGGCCAAUAUUCCUUCUAUAAUUCAGUCGGUAUAUACUAAUGGAAUUAUAGAUAAAAUAUAUAGAAUUUGAAAGAAAAAAAAAGAUGUUCGAUGACGUGGAAGUUUUGGCAGGCGAUUUUACCGAUGAACUCAUUGAGGGAUUCAAAUCGGGAUCUCCAUAUAGUGAUGUGACCAAUUCACCGUCAUAAUCACCGACAUAAUGAGUUCGUCGGUGAUUCCAUCGGCAAAAGUUAAUAUAUCACCACUCUACUGACCCUCUCCUCUUCUAUUUUUCCUUUUUUUUCCCCAUCCCAACUCUUCCCUCCCGAAUUGCAAACAAACCCCCCUAAAAAUAUCAUCUUCUUCUCAACACAAGUCAUAUUUCUUUAAGUUUUGUGGUCACAACAUCCGUGUUCUGAUUUAUUGUCGAUUUUAUCAUUUUUUAUAAGUAAAUAUAUUUUUUUAAUUUUAACAUUUAAAUGUCAAACUUUUUUUUUUAGUAUAUGUAUUUUGUUAAUGUAUGUACAUGUUUUAUUGUUAUUUCUCAAACAAACUUUGUAGUAUGAAUGUAUAAUUUUGUACUUGUUAUGAUUUGUUUUAGAUUUUGUAAAAUUAUAAUUUUUUGUAAAUUAUUGAAACUUUGUUGUAUUACCGAAUUACAUGUGUUGUGGUGAAAUAAUUAAUAGUUUGUUUAAUGGGUCCGUUUUAAUUUUUAUCAAUGCUAUUGCAGAGUUGUAAUUUCCAUAAAUUUAUAUGUAUAAAUUUAUAUGGACGUUUAUAAUUAAUAAUGAAUAUUUAUGAGAAGUUUUAAUUAGUUUGUUGGAUAAUUUAGAGGUAAACCAAUAUUUUUGCAAAUUUAUUUACCGAACAUGGUUAAUUAAUACAUGUCAUCAUAAUUUUAUAGAGGUUUGAUAGAAGUCAUGGAUGAUCAUUCAUGGAUGUAUCGAGAUUCACCCUAAGCAUUGCGGAGAAUAGAUUAUUGUAAUGGGGUUCAGGGUUUUAUUAAUUUCACAACAUCUAUUCCCAGAAAUUUUGCUGGAGGCGGUAUUAGGUGUCCAUGCAGGAAGUGUCAAAAUAAAAAGUAUCUUUAUUCAGAUGUUGUAAUGAUGCAUCUUCUACACAAAGGGUUAAUGAAGGAUUACCUAUGUUGGUAUGCAUAUGAAGAACUAUUUGUUCGUAAUGAUAGCAUGAGAGAAAGGGUAGUUGGGUCAACUUCUAGUGCUAACAACGUGCAUUGACUAUCAAUGAUUCUUAUAGGAAUAUGGUUAUGGAUGCUGUUGCACGUACCCCGCGCGAUGUUGAUAGUGAUUUUCGUUUGUUUGCUUGAUUGGUUCUUUGGGAGUCGCCACCUAGUAUUUAAUUGAAGGUUACUAUGAAACCCGAGUGUAUUGGUUGUUGUUAGAGAUUGGAGGGUAAGGAACUGGUUGUGGCUAGAAAGAUAUUAGCACCCUUAGCGCACCAUACCUAAAGUAAGUUGUUUCAUGUUUUGAUGUGGUUCAAAAAAUUAAAAUAUUAGUCAAAUUCUUAAGGCUUGAAUAAAUCAGUUAUUAAAUCUCAAAAUAUAUGUAGAAAUGUGUUCUUACACUUUUACGGGAAAUACAACAUGAUUUUAUUUGUACUUAAGAUACUUGACCAUAUACAAAUUAAAACAUUAAAAUUUUGUCUUUUUGAUUUUAUAAUUCAAUAACAUACAUACAAGAAGUUCAAACACACACCAUUUUUUAUUAUGUUUUUCUCAUACACCAUUUUUUACUUGUUAAAAAAAAUAACAAAAAUUCAAAAAAAUCAAAUACAAUUCAAAAAUUACAAAAUAAACCCCAAAAAUCUACAAGAAUUGUAGGGAAGGCCUUCUGCAACGGCAGAAAUAAUGGCUGGAAGGUUUCUGGCCAUUUGAACAGUGGCGGCGUGUCUUCUCCAAGCGCCUCUGCCACCCACGCGCCGCCAUAAGAAAGUCCAAGCGAACAGAGAGAUCUAGAAUGUCUUCUCCCCCUCUUCCUUUCUGCACCGGCGGUGAGGAUCACCGUCACUGCAACAAGAGAAAAAUGCACAAACAACAAUUGAUUUCUCCUUUACGGAUAUGUUUUUGGGUCUGUUUUCAGUUAUGGUUUGUUGUUCUUCCCUUCUUUCGAUGGCCGAUCUGGCGGUUGUAAAGGGGGCUGCGGCGGUGGCUGGUGGAAAUGGAGACCUGGUUUGGUCGGUGGGGAAUGGUUGUUUCUGGUCUUGGAGAACCGGUUGGGUUUGGCUGAGACAAAAAGAAGAGAGGAAGACAUAUCAGGGAAGAGAGGCCAGGUGGUGGAAGGUGGUGUUGUCUUGGCCGCGAGGGAGAGUGACCGCGAGGGAAAGAAGGAGGGUGAGCGGCUGCUGGCUUCUGUGGAGGCCAAUCUGCAGGGAGAAGAGAGCAAGAUAGAUCCGGGAAAGAGAAGGUUGAGUUGUUGUCUGUUGAUGUUGGCCAGGUGAGGGACUGUCUUGUAGCCGGCUGAGAGAGCAAAAUAUGGGCUGGUGUGCUUUCCAGUUGGCUCCUGGAAAAAAGGAAGGAAACAGAGGUUAGAGGAGGUGUAUGAGUGGCGGCUGGAAAAGCUGGGAGACCGAAAUCCAAAAGCUGGGGAGGCAUCCACGAUUUCUGGCUUUCUGUUUUUUUGCUAAGAGAGAGGGGGGCCGCGACUGCUGCGAGAAUAAAAGCUAAGUUAUUUUUAGGGUGUUUUUUUGUGGUUUAGGUAUCUCCUUUGAUGUCUCAAAAUUGACCCUUGUAAAUUUUUCCCUCUUUUUUUAUGUGUUGUGACCUCUAUUUAUAAGCAGAGUGGCUUGGUUCCCAAAACAAAUUGGUCCCUCAACUUCUUUAUUUUUUGUCAAUUUUGAUUUUUUCUUAUUUGUUUUUGUAUUAUUGAAAAUGAGCAAUAUCAAUGUCAACUCAACAAGAAAAAUCAUUAAUUGUAAAAUUAACGCGUUAAAAGUUGAAUGCAUUUAAAAUACCUUUGAAAUUUUAAAUUCUUUUAAGAUUACAUUGAAAAUACUAAAAACGAUACAAAUAUAUCAAAAAUACAUUUUUUUGGGUUUUCAUUGUUUUUUUGCUAUUUUUGUUUUUUUUUGAAAAUUUAUCAAAAAUAUGGGUAAAAAAUUGGGUAGUAACAGAUGUCCCUUCUUUACAAUGCUUACGAAGCAAAAAUUCCUUAAUGUUUUGCAUAGUGAGCUUGUAAAGAAAACAAAAGGUAUUCCUGGCUUACUAAGUUAUCCACUCAGCCAAGGACUUCGCUUUUUAAAAGAAAAUGGUCUUAUUAUCUUGGAUAACCUGCCUCUUUUCAAAAAACAUGGUCUAUUUUCACGGGCGACCUGUCAACACACUUACACUGGUCUAUUUUUACAGGCGACCUACCCACACAUACUCAUUUUGGUCUAUUUUCAGGGGUGACCAGCCCACACACAUUUACCCUAGUCUAUUUUCACGGGCGGCCAGCCCACACAUACACACGCUGAUCUAUUUUUAGGGGCGACCUACCCACACACACUCACAUUGGUCUAUUUUCACGGGUGACCUGCCCUUUUGAUUGGGUUAACUUGAGAUCUCAUCUGGCGAUCUCCUUUAACUAGAAUCAAAAUCAGUGUGUAGCUCAGUCAACCUGAAAUCCCAUCUGGCGAUUCCCUUUAACCAAAGCUAAAUUAUAUGUGUGGUUGGGUUAACCUGAGAUCCCAUCAGGCAAUCUCCUUUAACUAGAACCAAAAUUGAUGUGUAGCUUAGUCAACUUGAAAUCCCAUUCGAUGAUUCCCUUUAACCAAAGUUAAACUCAGUGUGUGGUCGGGUUAACCUGAGAUCCCAUCUGACGAUCUCUUUUAACCAGAACCGAUAUAAAGAUGUGUGUGUGGUCUCAUUGUAAUGGGUGACCUACCUAGAAAAAAUGAUGAUGGGUGACCUGCCAAAAGAAAAAAAUGAUGGUUUCAUUAUUAUGGGUGACCUACCCAAAGAAAAAAUGAUGGUCUCAUUAUGAUAGAUGACCUACCCAAAGAAAAAAAAUAAUGGUCUCAUUAUGAUGGGUGACCUACCUGAUUAGUACUUAAAAGUACAUUUUAUCAAGGUUUUAUAUCAUCAUUUUGCACUUGAAGUAUCAAUAACUCUUUAACUAGAGCAUGUUUUAUAAUAACAUGUCCAAUAAUAUAAGAUACCUUUAAUUUAUGGUAAAUGUUCAUGUUAAAUGCAGGCUUAUCACAUAAAUCAAAGGAUUGAUUGAUGAGUUUAACUACUGAAAUUGAGAAGACAAAGAGAGGGCUAAGCUUAGAAAAGAGAUGCUGGUUCAGUUCAAACUGGAACACCAUUUGGUUAUUGGAUCAUAACUGAAGCUGUAUAACUUGGAUUUAGUUCUAGUUUAAAUGUAUUGAAAUCUACGACAUAGGCCUAAAACUUUCAUGAGAGUCCAAGAUUUAAAAGUGCCAUUUUAGAGUUCAAAUUGUAGUAACAACGGAGAAGUCAGAAUCUUUCCUACAGUCCAGACAUUGUUCAAUAGUCUGCCUAUAUCUCGAGUUGUAGAAGUCCAAAUGACCUCAUUAUUGUUUUUUUAGAAAGCUGAGACAAUUUCCCAAAACUUUCAUGCAGACUAUCUAUUCAAAUUAUGAUGUUAGCAAUAAUGGUUUCUGCAAACAAGAAGAUAAGGAUUGUUACCAAGUCAAGAGGUGGCCACCCACUCAACAAUUAGUCAUCAAAUCAAUAGUUCUGAAUUUUGGCCUAUAAAAAGAGCCAUUUUCCAUGUAUUUAGGUAUCUUGGUUUUCAGAUCAAGAUCAUAUUCUUGCUUUCUUUCUUGUUUUGUUAAGUUUAUUAUAUCAAGGUGAAAAGGUUACACUAAUGGUGUAAGAAUAAGUAUAAUGUAAACUCAACAUGGACUUUAAUGUUUGAUACUAACAUGUUUUGUAUUUGUUAUCUUAUUCACUCUUAAUACUUUGCUUGUUAAAUGGUUAAUCUAGAUUUAUGUUGUAUAAUCCUUGGUACAAUAAAUGCUUGACCCUUUCAUAGCCUAUUGUAUGGUUUAACCGACACUUGUGCUAUGAAAGGAACUUGAUUUGUUAUUAACAUAAAUUAACAUCAUGAAUACCUGACAGCAUUUACUAGUAUUAGCAUUAUUCGAAUAAGAUAACUAAUGUAAUCAUGUUAACAAUUUAUAAUCCGAUUGGAACCUCCUUUGUGUGUGGUUUCGAGUUAAGUAAUAAAAAGAGUUUAUAAUAUACUUAUUUGAAAUACCAUUAGUGGAUCCUCUAACCUUGAAAAUUAUUUUAUCUUUGUUUAAUCCUUACAUCAAUAUCUCAUCUUAAAAGUUCUCAUCAACUCCUUUUCAUCUAUUGUUUGUAAUUUUAUAAAGUUCACCUCCCUAUGGUUUGACCCUAGUCUUGCCGGAUUAUUUAUUACUUCAACACUCCUGCACUUGGGAUAAGACAUCGAUCUUUUAGUUAUGUCAAGUUUUUGGCGCCGUUACCGGGGAGGUAAGUUAUUGUAUAAAUUAUAUAUUUUCUUCUGUUUUCACUUUUAUUUGUUUUUCUAAUUUUUGUUUUUUUCCUUUUCUUUUAUUUCCUUUUGCACUUGCAUGAGAGUUUGGUCACGCACAUUAAGUGGUAGACUUUGUAGGAAAUCCUCAUCAUUUUCAGAAAACAUGGCCAAAGAGGAUAAUCGGUCGCUCCAUAAUGAGAAUAAUCGUGUUAGAAUACUUAGAGACUACAUGAAUCCAACAAGAACAAGUGCAUGAUCAUGUAUAAAUUUUCCUCCUAAUACAUCUCAUUUUAAUUUUAAGCCAGACAUUAUUCAAUUUUUACGUACUUUUCAUGACUUAGAUCUAAAAAAUCCAUACUUGCAUUUAAGGAAAUUUGAGGAGGUCUAUAACACCUAUAAUGACUUAAAUUGUAGCAUGAACACCAUUAGAUUAAAGCUUUUUCCUUUUUCAUUAAAAGAUAAAGCUAAAACAUGGCUACAAAAUCUGAGAUCAGGAUCCAUUCGUGCUUGGGAUGAAAUGCAACAACAAUUUUUAAAGAAGUUUUUCCCUUCUCAUAGAACAAACUCUUUCAAAAGACAAAUCACCAUAUUCACUCAAAAACCAGAAGAAACAUUUUACUAAUAUUGGGAUAGGUAUAAAGAUUUACUUAAUACAUGUCCUCAUCAUGGUUUUGAAACAUGGAGAUUGGUUUCACAUUUUUAUGAAGGAUUAACACCUAAAGAUAGGAAAAUAGUGGAAUUGAUGUGCAAUGAAACUUUUAAAGAUAAAGACCCUGAUGAAGCAAUGGCAUACCUAGACUCGUUAGCUGAAAAUGCUAAAAAUUAGGACACUACAGGUGUUUAUGAGGCACCGGGUAAAACUCAACCUCAUACAUAUAGUGGAGGUAUGUAUAACCUUAGAGAAGAUCAUGACCCCUGUUGCUACCCAAUUUUUGGCCCAUGUUUUCAUAAAUUUUUAGAAAAAAUCCAAAAAUAACAAAAAACAUCGAAAAUCCAAAAAAUACUUUUUUUAAUAUAUUUGCAGCAUUUUUAGAAUUUUUAGCAACGUCUCAAAAUAAUUUAAUUUUCAAAGGUUUUUAGAACGCGUUCGACUUUUAACACGUUAUUUAAAACCAUCGAUUUUCCUCAUUCAAGGCGAUGUUGAUAAGAAAAAUUCAAAAAACUAAGAAAAAAUCAAAAUUUACAAAAAAGAAAGUUGAGGGACCAAUUUUGAAAACCUAGCACUAUUUUUGUCUAUGAAUAAGAGUUUCCAACCCAUUCAUAAGGGGGAGUAAUUUCACAAAAUAGAGCGAAACCACAAAAAACCCUAAAAAGCCAACUCUUUCUCCCCACUUAUAAAAAAAGCCGCCGCCUCCCUCUGCUUGAAUUUUUUUCUUCGACAGACACUAGCCACCCCACCUAUGUUCGGGCUACCUCUCCAUCUUCUCUACAUGAGAGCCAAGAUAGGGCCGCCCCCUUCCCUUUGCUAGAAGUGAAAUAGAGUCAACAAGCCGCUCCCCCCUCAUUCUCUUCAACCACAGCUGCCUCACCAUCUCCUCCCACUCUCCCUUCCCCCGGCCAAAACCAGAGAACCAAAGGAGCGGCGCCCCCCUUUCCUCUGAUCUUCAACCUUCAGCCGGAGGCUCCCUCUUUCUCAGCCGUCCCCAUCUUCCCCACAGACUAGUCUCUAACUUUUCCCUCACAGACCCACACACUUGGCCAUAACUCCCUCUUUUCCUCCCAUCUACCUCACAAUUGAAACCAGCCACGCACCAGGUCUUCUCUAAGCCACUGAGAGCACCGCCUUCCAGCGCACAGUCAACAAGUCUUCCUUCUUCAACUGGCAACAGACAUACGGUCUCCCUUUUCAGCCGUAGCCGCCAUUUCUUCAUCUCCCACAGUUUCCAGAUCUAAGAAAGAACCAAGAACAAAUUUGUAAACAAAUUAAUUAAAACCAACAGCUGUUUGGGUUUGCCCUUUUCUUCUAUUUCAUAUGAAGAUAGAUCUCCACCAGCGGAGAAUAUUUGAAGGAGAGAGAAGGCCGAACCUUAAGGCAGCCAGAUCUCAUUCCUUGAGAAGCAGUGGAGGUCACCGCCGACGCAGGAGCAAAGAGGGGACCGUGCGGCUUCGGAUGCAACGGUUUGCGCUCCAACUAUAGCAGCGAAGCGUGGGUCCAGGCGUCGCCCCUGUUUUUUGUGGCCCAGAAGCUUUCCAACACUGUUCUGUGGCUGCAUUAUUCCUGAUUCUAUUUUAGGGGUUGUUUUUUGUAACUUCUUAAAUUGUUUAAUGUAAUUUUUGUUUAGUUUUUAUUUUUUUACCAUUUAUAGUGUGUAUGUACAAAAAAAGAAAAGAAAAGAAAAAAAAGGAAAAAAUAUAGUAAAAAUGUAUGUGUGUUUUGUAUUUGUUUUAUGGAUGAUGUUUUUAUUUAUGAUAAAAUUGCAAAGAAUAAAGAAGAAUUUAAUAUUUUGAUUUGUUCACAGGCAAGAAUUAUUAACUUAUACGUAAGUUGUAUUUCUAAUAUUCGAUGAAAAGAUAAUUUUUAAAACUUCUUUAACACGUCAAAGCCACGAAGCAGCUUACCUCAAGUAGAGUGCGUUAGGGGUGCCAAUACCUUCCCUAAUCACAACCAGUCCCUUACCCGUAAAUCUAUGACAAGACCAAUAUAUCUGGUUUCUAGUAGCCCUUAAUCAGUUACUAGGUGGCGACUCCCAACGAACCAAUCAAAGCAAAACAAACAACGAGAAAAAUCGCCAACCAACGCCGCGCGGGUCACAUGCGACAACCUCCAAGCCAAAUUUGCAUAUUUAGCUAGAAAAUUCGAGGCACCAGAAUUAAAUAAAAAAGUGGUCAAUUAAAAUAUGUUCAAGAAAUUGUGUGUCAAAUCUGUAUAACUAAUGAACAUUCAACCAAUGAUUGUCUAAAUUUGCCUUCUUUCAAGAAAUGUCUCCAUGAACAAGCCAGUGCUUUAAACAGUUUUCAAUGGCCAAAUCAUGAUCCAUACUCACAAAUAUACAACCCUAGUUAGAGAGAUCAUUUAAAUUUCAGUUUGAAGAGUAGUAACAAUAAUGCAUAAACUUCACAGCCACCAUUUCAAGCACACCAUAAUUUUCAAAAUUCUCAUGGAUAUGCACCUCCUUAUGCUCCACCUUCUAAAAGAAAUCUUCAGAAAACAUUGCAUGCAUUCAUUGAAAAGCAAGAGACAAUAAACACUCAACUUGCUCAAAGUAUGAUAGAUUUUAAAGAUACUCUAUCCAGGAUGUCGAUGGUAGUCUGGCUGUUCGUGGCGCUAGUAAUCACACAAACUUACAUAGCUAACCUUUCGAGCAUGCUUACUGCUCAGAAGCUUGAUGGUGCUUCUGAGCAGUACAGUAGCAUCUUUCUCUACUUCUAUUCUGUUUCUUGUUCAUCUCUGUAAUAAUUCUUGCUAGUCUUUCAUCUAUCUAUUGAUAUAUUAUAUAUUCAAUAUGUUGAUUGAUUAUUUAAUUAAUAUGCUAUCUGUUAUUUAUUUUUUUCUUCCAAUGAAGAGAAAUUACAAUUAAAAACAUAAUCCUGAGAUAAGAUAAGUAGCAGACUCCUAAAUUAAGCGAAGUGUGAAAUUUUUAACUUAACUUUAAUAGAUUAAGAGAAAAAAAGAAAAAAGAUAUUGCCCAAAACUAUAAACUAUGUAAAAAUGCUAAGUAAAUAAAGAAAAAUAAAUAAAAAAAGCUAUAAAAAAUAAAUUAUAAGAAAGUGAUAGAAUAAAGUUAGUAAAUUGUACAUAAAACUUGUGAGUAAGUUUUAUAUGUUGGCUAAUUAUUAUUUCCAGCUACUAGAUUACUUAUUUAUAAUUUUACAAAGAUAUAAUUUUACAUAAAUUUAAAAAUCUAAUUCUAUACAAAUUAUAAAUAACAAAUAAAGGCUAUCCAAUCUUAAUCCUAAUAUAAUUAAUCCUCUUUAUUCACGCGUAUCUUUUCUGGUAGCUCUAUGUGCUCUUGUUAUAUAUGUUGUAAUAUACCACUAGUUUAUAUGCUAAAUACUUUUGUUCUGCGUAAGACUUAAUUGUUGACCAUUAAUGUGAAUCUAAUAGCGAACUAUUACUGUUUAUAAUUUCUAAUGAAAUGACAUUACAUGAAUUUUUUUUAUAUAAAUACUAGUUGAAUCUUAAUCAAAAUCUCUUAAAUUGUAUAAGAGAAUAUGAUAGUAUAGUUACGUUCUUAUUGUUUUUCAAUUAAGCUUUUUAUUGAUAAAAUUUGAAAUUAAUUAUAUGAUAUUUCUUUUAAAAAAUUCAACAGAAAUUAAAAAAUUAAUUUGAAUAUACAUGGAAAUUAUAAAAUGUUUUAUGUCCACAUAUUCUAUAUUAAAAAGGGAUAAAUUUAUAUAAUUUCGAAAAUCAAUAAAUUAUGAAAUAUUCAAAAAUAAACAAAAUAUGACACCAGACCACUUUUACAACUAAAUUCUUGAUAUUCAAUUCAAAAUGUUUUACAUUAAAUAGUCAAGCUUGGAAAAACGUAACUAUGCUACAAAUCUAUAGCUGGAAAGCCUGGAUAUAUACUAGAGUCGUGAUUCUCUUUUUGAAUUGAUUUACAAACUUGAAGCGUAUUUCCAAAUUUAAAUUUAAUGUUUGACAUUAAAAAGUCAAGCAGUUUCAGUCUUGCACUCCGACACGUAUUUCCAAGGACUGGAGUUGCGCUGAAGCAUUAAUUUCCAGGAACUGGGCUUCCACGGAAACCUGGCGUGUAAAUGUCCAUUACUUUGAAGGGUUUUUUCGUACCUGACAAAUGAACUUCAAUCAUGUAUUCUUUCUCGCGUGCAUGGCAAGCAGCCCCACACAGAAAAAUCCUCGUCUUUACUUUGUGUGGCCUUUUCACACAAGUCAAAUACAAUUGGGCGUGCAUCCUAUCGGUCUGCCCACUUGCACUGUGCUUGUGGAUUUGAGUAUCGGACCUCGUACUCGUGACAAAGACGUUCUCCUAUAAAAACGUUUCCACAUUAUCGAGCCACGAAAAUCCCUGUGCACUUUCCAUUGGGAUAUCAACGAUCUGCGGCUAUGAAAUUAAUUCCAUCUUCCUCUAUAACCUAAUAUUCAAGGUAUAAUUUUCUGAUAAUUAGUUGAGAAAGCGAAAAAGACAUUGACAGCCUAAGAAUCGAGAAAGUUGGACCUACAAUACGUACGGGAAUAAAUCUCAUAGCCGAUAUUUAGACCGUUGACAAGUAUAUGAUUCCUAUAAAAAAAUAAUAUAAAUUAUAUUCUGAAAUCUCAUCUAAUAAUUUAAAUUAUUAGAUGAGAUUAUUCUUUGAUAUGAUAUCAGAGCCUUGAUGACCUAGUGGUCACGAGUUCGAAUCUCAACAUCUCUAUUUAUUUGAUAAAAUUAAGUACAAGAUAAUGUGAACAUGUACAAGUGUUAAGCCCAAAAAGCUUUCACUUGAGGGGGUGUGUUAGACAAUAAUAUAAAUUAUAUCCUGAAACCUCACCUAAUAACUUAAGCUAUUGGAUUAAGAUCAUUUUUUAAUAAUUCUUAAAUGUGAUCUAAUCAACUAUAUACUUCUGACCAACUACAGAGUUUAAAGACAUAUUAAAUUUAAAAUUUAAAAGGAGAUAUUAACAAAAUUAUAGUAAAAAAAAAUUGAAACACGAAAAUUUCAAUUUUUUUAGUUUCUUGAUUUUGACUUUAUAUGAAAUUUAUUUUUUCUUUUAUUUUAGUUUUCUUAACUUCUAUUUUUAUUUUAUUUUUAAUUUUAAUUAAGUUUAAAUAAGAUUUUAUUUUUCCCUAAACAAAAGCAAUUUAAUUUGAAAGUCUUCUUUUUCUUAAUUAAGUUUAAAAUAUUAAAUUUGAUUAAUUUGAAAAUUUUUGGAGUUGCUGUAGAAUUGAGGAAGAAUGUUUUUUAUUUUUAUUUAAAUGUGUUCAAUAAGAGCAGAAAAGGCUCUUAUAUAUAUAACCUAUACAGAGACUAAUUAGGAAGAAACUAAUUACACUAGUCUAGGAAAUAAUUAUGGACGAUUUACAAUCAGGUAAGGUUAAUCAGGAAACUAAAUAUUCUAUGAUUCCUAUUCUGUGAUUUCCAUAUUAAUUCCUCACGUUAACACUCCCCUUCAAGUUGGUGUGUAGAUAUCAACAAUGCCCAACUUGUCAAGUGAGUUAUGAAAGAUUUUACCCGAGACAGCCUUUGUAAGUAUAUCUGCUAGCUGAUCCUCUGAUUUUACAAAUGGAAAUUGAAUCACGUUAUCUUCAAGCUUCUGUUUAAUGAAAUGCCGAUCUACCUCAACAUGUUUGGUACGAUCAUGCUGAACUGGGUUGUGCGCAAUGGCUAUGGCUGCUUUAUUAUCACAAAACAUGUUCAUUGUUUCUUGAGAUGAACAUCCAAUUUCUUCCAUUAAUCUCUGUAACCAAAGUAGCUCACAUAAUCCUUUGGUCAUACCUCUGAAUUCAGCUUCUGCACUUGAUAAAGCAACUACCUUCUGUUUCUUGCUUCUCCAAGUGACUAGAUUCCCGCCCACAAAUGUGAAGUAACCCGAUGUGGAUUUUAUGUCAGUGAUGUUCCCUGCCCAAUCUAUGUCAGUGUAACCAUGGAUGUGAAGUAAACCGACUUACCAAACUCACGCCAUAUGCAAUGUCUGGUCGAGUAUGAGAUAAGUAUAUUAGUUUUCCCACAAGCCGUUGAUAUCUCUCUUUGUUGGCGGGAGCCUGAUCAGGAAAUUCUCCCAACCCAUGGUUUUAAACUAUUGGUGUAUCGGCUGGUUUGCAGUCAAGCAUUCCUGUUUCAGACAGCAAGUCAAGAACAUAUUUUCUUUGGGAUAAAAAUAUGCCUUGUUUCGAUCGAGCCACUUCAAUCCCCAGAAAAUACUUUAAUCCUCCGAGGUUCUUCAUCUCAAAUUCUGUUGCUAACUGCUCUUGUAAUUUUGAGAUUUCUUCUUUAUCGUUUCCUGUAAUUAUCAUAUCAUCAACAUAGAUUAUGAGAGCAGUUACCUUUUCUCGUCGGUGCUUCAAGAAAAGAGUGUGGUCUGAAUUACUUUGUUUGUAACCGUAUCUCCGCAUGACCAAGCUAAAUCUUCCAAACCAUGCUCUCGGGGAUUGUUUUAAGCCAUAUAAUGCCUUUUGUAGCUUGCAGACCACCUUCCCUUGCAUUUGAGAAGUAAGGCCAAGUGGAACAUCCAUGUACACCUCCUCCUUAAGAUCUCCAUGAAGAAAAGCAUUUUUUACAUCAAAUUAGAGCAGCGGUCAGUCCAAGUUUGUAGCAAGAGAGAUCAAUACUCUCACAAUAUUUAAUUUUGCUACCGGUGAGAAGGUUUCUUGAUAAUCUAUCCCGUAUGUCUGAGUAUAUCCCUUCGCCACCAGCCUUGCUUUAUAUCUUUCUACUGAACCAUCUGCUUUGUGCUUGACAAAGAACACCCAUCUACAUCCCAUAGUUCUUUUUCCUUCAGGUAGUGACACAAGCUUCCAAGUAUUAUUUUUCUAUAGUGCUUCCAUUUCUUCCUUUAUUGCUUGAAUCCAUUUAGGAUUAUGCCAAGCUUCAUUCACUAUUUUAGGGACAUCUUCUACAGAUAGUUUAUGAGCCAGUGCCUUGAGGGGUUCAGACAGCUUCUGAGUUGAGACAUGGUUGGCAAUUGGAUACUUGGAUUUGCUCAUUCCAUGAUCGGGUGAAUAUCGUUUUGGAGGUUGUCCACGAUUAUGUCUGAAAGGCAAGUUAUAACAAGCAGAAAUAUUUUGAGAUGAGUUUAGAACUUGUACCUCAUGGAUAUUCUCAGGAGAUUGAAUUGAUUGUGGUACUGUCACGGUGUGGAAGGGCUGUUCAUUGGAGACUGCUCCAGUUGCUUCCAUUUGCUCACCAAGUUCUGCACUCUCCUCUACUGUUUCGGUCUCCAUGUGCUCAUCAUUUUCUACUUCCAUUUGCUCACCAAGUUUUGGAUUCAUAGAGUUGAUCAGCCAUCCCUUCACCAUUGCAUUUCCAGUUCUCCACUUCCUGAAUGUCGGAUCUGUUUGCAGAGGUUGUGGAAGGUCUCCAUUUAUGUAUCCCAACUUGUCUUUUCCUGAGAUAUACAUCUCAACAAUUUGGGACCAUAAUGCAUAGUUGUUGCCGUCUAGCUUGAUUCCAAUCGGUGCAGCAGAUUCAUGGCUGGCAAGUUGUGUCAUCCCUGCCGUCAGAUUUGCAAGGAUUGAGUUCUCCCCUUCAUAUGUUUUCACCCCAGCAGAAGGGGUUUCCAUUCUUUUUCGAAGAAAAGAAAGAAAAGAAAAUAUGACCCUAGAAUCUCAGCUCUGAUACCAUGUUUUUUAUUUUUAUUUAAAUGUGUUCAAUAAGAGCAGAAAAGGCUCUUAUAUAUAUAACCUAUACAGAGACUAAUUAGGAAGAAACUAAUUACACUAGUCUAGGAAAUAAUUAUGGACGAUUUACAAUCAGGUAAGGUUAAUCAGGAAACUAAAUAUUUUAUGAUUCCUAUUCUGUGAUUUCCAUAUUAAUUCCUCACGUUAACAGUUGCUACAUGGAUCAUUAAUGGUUUUUGUUAAUAGAAUUGGAUGAAGAGUGUAAGAAAGGAUAAGAUUGAAACUCUUGGAUAAGUUUAAUAUAAAAUUGAUGGUUGUUAUAGGUGAGGGGUAAUAUUUUAAUUAACCCAAAAUACUAAUUAAUAAAAAUUUUACUCCACUAUCCUCGUUUAAUCAAUAAAAAACCACAUACUUUUUUUUUAAAAGAAAAUUUUUUCUUACUUUCUUUCCAAGCACUUUUUUUCACCUACCAAAUAAACAAAAAAUAUUAUUUCCACAUUCAUCCUUUUUGUAUUUUUUUCCUCAUAUUUUCUUUUCUUCAACAAGUUGUAAGGUUAAAAACUAUACCUAUAAUAUUUAUGAUUCUCCAAAAUUCUGAAUGCAAGGGAAAAUAUAUUUCACGACACUGGCACUUGGAUUAUGGAUGAUCACAUGUACAUGUCAAUCUUUUAUUCUUCAUAGAUGAGAUUUCUAGGGGUUGAUGGCAUAGUCUGGAUUUCCAGCAAAACAAUCCCUCUUAUGGAUUUUUUGGGACCCUCUAAUGAUUAAGCAAUGACUUUUAUGAAGAGUUGUAGUAAAUAUACAUUCAAUUUCAGUUUUAAGAACAAAAGUGCUUGUUCUUAGUAUGUAAUAAAUGUUGAGAAUUAAUUAUAGGAGAGUAAAAGAUCAUAAACCCCUUUCUUGGGUUGUUUAGAGCGUAUUUAUAACCUUUUCUUUUUCCUCUUCGAGGGGUUGUAAAUCUUUUCCUUCUUCAUCCAAGUAGGGGAAAGACCCUUACAAUCAAUAUGAAUAUUGAUUAUAAGUCUAUUCUUAUAUGACAUUAAUGUUGAGAGUGCUAUAUGCUUACGGAAGAUGGUCUUACAUCAAUUUGUACUUAAUAUUAAUAUUGAUAGGAUCAUCCUUUAUAAUCAAUAUUAAUAUUAAUUUGAUGUAAGGAUGGUCUUUAGAGGAAAUUUUGACUGGUUAGGGAGUAGGGAAAUGAUGACCCUAGAUUCUCACUUUGGGUGAUUGUAUCAAAAAAAAAACCUAUGCUAAAAAAAGAGUUGGGUUUGGCAAUAUGUUGAACACAUAGGUGGUUGGGUUUGAUGUAUAGCCAAGCACGAGGGAGUUGGAUCUAGUAAAGUACCAGAUCCACAUAUCCUUGGGCCUAUGUGUAGCCGAGACUCAGGAGAUUAGGUCUGAUAAGGUACUAAACCCACAAGUGCUUGGCCUUGGAGUGUAGCCAAGCCCAAAGAAGUUGGGUUUGGUAAUGUGCUGGACCCAUAUAUACUUGAACUUGAUGUAUGGCCGAGCCCAAAGGUGUUGAGCUUAACAAGAUGUGAGACCCACAACUAUCUGGGCACUUAGCCUAGACUGAAAAAGAGGAGGGUGUCAUCUUUAUCAAACCUUUUUAUCAUGGGUCUUGGCCUUCAAUGAGCUUCUUUUUGUCUCUUUGUCCAUUCUGUUUAUGGGCUUUUGUAAUAAAACCUUUAGUAUGAAAUAUGUUGAUCCUUCAAAUAUAUUCUCACAUAUAAUGAAAGAGAAUUCUUUAAAAUAAAAGAAUUCAUAAAAAAUAUAAUGGUAAUAUUAAUAAUAAUUCCUUUUAUGAAGCUCACAUCCUCAAAGAAUUUUAUUUUAAUUAAAUUUUAACUACAUUUAUAAGAAAAUUAUUAAAAAUUUAAAGUUGAAAAUGUUCACUAAAUAUAUUAAUUUUAUUUUCUAAUUAUUAACUACUUAAUCAAUUCUUGAAAAAUAUAGUAAAAAUAUUAAGUAAAUGAAUGAAUAAUACAUAUGAAUGAAGCUCUAAUAAGAAAAUCUGUAUAAAUGGUCAUUGCAUAACUAUUAUUGAGUUUUCUUUAUUUAAAACAAAAAAAAAAGUUGAAAUCGUGAGUCAACCUUGAUAAACCUGUGGUAGAAGAAGAAGGAUUGGUUACGUGAAGAGCUAAUUACAGAGUUGAAGAAGAAGAAGUUGUUAUGUUAUUGCUGUUAAUUAUUCUCUUCUUCUUAUAACUACCUGUAACAGAAUUGUAACCAAUUCUAAACUACUUCAUAACUGCCUUAGCAGUAGUUAUAAUAAUUGUCAUGACAAUUACAAUUUGUAACUAUAUAUACAUACUGCAUGUGUAUAUACAAAACACAUAGAGAAAAAUAUAAUCUUUAGAAGAGAAAAUAUUCCUUAUUUCUAUCUUGGUAUUAGAGCCUUUGAAAUAAAAACUUCUUUCCCUCUUCGAUUCAGCCAUGACUUUUGCUUCAAGUCACUCCUCUUCCACCUUUAGUCCUAUUGGAUUUGGGCAAACCAUAACAAUGGCACUCACUUCAUCCUAUCAGUAGCUCAACCAUGCAUUACCAGUAAAACUUGAUCGAACCAACUAUGUUUUAUGAAAAUCUCAAAUUGAUAAUAUUGUUUUUGCUAAUGGCUUUGAGAAUUUCAUAGAUGACACCUUUGUCUGUCUAGAAAAAAGAAUUGAGUACAAGUGUAAUCAAUCUAGCUUUCAUUACUUGGAGAAGACAAGAUCGCACAAUUCUCAGCUGGAUUUACUCAUCUCUCACACCAGCUAUCAUGGCAAAGAUCAUUGGACACACUACUUCUCAGUCUGCUUGGAAUGCAUUGGAAAAGACCUUCACUUCUUCUUCAAGAGCCAGAAUAAUGCAACUGAGGCUUGAACUGCAAUCCAUAAAGAAAGGAUCUUUGUCUAUGAUAGGCUAUAUCAUGAACGUGAAAGGAGCUGCAGACAGUCUAGCAGCCAUUGGAGAACUUGUAUCCGAACAUGAUUAAGUCAUGAAUUUACUUGGAGGACUCGGUUCUAACUAUAAUGCAAUAGAUACAGCUAUCAACAUUAGAGAUGAUAAAAUCUCAGUUGAAGCAAUUCACAAUAUGCUCUUAGCAUUUGAAAAUUCACUUGAGCAACAAAGCUCAGUAGAUCAAAUUUUAGCAAUGGUAGCCAAUUAUGCCUUUUCCUCUAAUAACAGAGGUGGUGGAAGGAGAUACAAUGGCAGUAGAGGACACGGCUACACAAGCUUCACUCCAAAUGCCAAUAAUUACAACUACAAAGGUCAUGGUCAUGGGGGCAGAUACACACAAAGUGGAAGACAUAAUUCAAUCAGUUCAUAAAAGCCACAAUGUUAGUUAUGUGGCAAAUUUAGGCAUACAGUACACGUCUACUAUCAUAGAUUUGAUAUUUCCUAUCAAAACUCUUCUAAUAGUGGUACUAACUUGUGAAUAUGAAUAUCAGAAGUGAAAGCAAUAUACCUGCUAUGGUUGCCUCCUCUAAUAAUCUUGUAGAUGAUAAUUGGUACUUUGACUCUGGAGCAAGCCAUCACCUGACUCAGAAUGCUGGGAAUCUAAUCAACUCUACUCUAUAUACAAGGACAAAUAAGUCACAGUUGGAAAUGGUAAGCACUUAUUCAUUUCCAACAUUGGUUCCUAUCGUCUAGUCUCUAACUCUCGAUCAUUUCAACUCAGAAAGGUGUUUCAUUCCAUUCAUCUCAACAAACUUGAUAAGUGUUGCUAAGUUCUGCUUAGAUAAUAAUGCCUUGAUUGAAUUUCGAUCUAAUAGUUUCUUUAUGAAGGAUCUACAUACGAAGAAGAUACUAGCACAAGGCAGACUUGAAAAUGGACUUUACAAGUUCCAAGCACUGAGCAAUGAGAAGAUGGCAUACGUUGGCAUUAAAGACUUUUCUAUUUUUCAUUCUCCAAUCUCUAGAACCACUCAUAAUAAAAUGGACAUAUGGCAUCACAAACUAGGUCAUGCUGCCACUGAUGUUGUAGUCCAAAUAUUACAAAGCUAUAAUGUUUCCUAUGAAAAGCAUAAAGCUACUGAUUGUUCCACUAUAUGUUCUUCCUAUCUACUUGUAAAAAGUCACAGACUGCCAACUCAUCUCUCCUCCUCUCGUGCUUCCAAACCAUUGGAAUUGAUUCAUAUAGAUAUCUAGGGGCCUGCCUCAGAAAAAUCCAUAUAUGGUGUUAAGUACUUUAUUCUGUUCUUAAAUGAUUUCUCACGAUUCACAUGGUUCUAUCCACUACAUAUAAAGGAUCAAGCUCUCCCAAUGUUUCAACAAUUCAAACUCCAAGUAGAGAAUCAAUUUGAUGACAAUAUAAAAUAUAUGCAGUCUGACAAUGGAGGUGAGUUCAAAUCCUUCACCAUAUUUCUUCAACAAGCUGGUAUUGUGCAUCAUUUUUCCUGCCCUUAUAACUCAGCUUAGAAUAGGAGAGUUGAAAGGAAGUAUAGAAAUGUUGUAGAGACUGGAUUGGCCUUGUUAGCUCAUGCUCUGUUGCCUAUGAAGUUUUGGCAGUAUGCCUUCCAAUUAGCCACAUUCCUCAUCAAUACAAUGCCUAGCAAGAUACUUAACAAUGCUUCACCUUAUCUAACUCUUUUUCAUAAACUAUCUGACUAUAAGUCUUUAAGAGUUUUUGGCUGCCUACGCUAUCCUUUCAUUCACCCUUAUAACAACUAUAAACUACAAUAUCGAUCGGUUUAGUGCAUCUUUCUUGGUUAUACCCUCAGCAACAAGGGAUAUUUGUCCCUUGAUUAUCUCACUGGACGAGUUUAUAUCACACCUCAUGUGGUGUUUGAUGAAACACAAUUCCCUUUCACCACCAAAUCUCCUCCAUCUCAACCUGAUGACACUUCCUCUGUCAAUUUACCUCCUGCAAUACCAUUCCUAUCUAGUGAUUUGUCUCACUGUCCAGUAGAUACACCUACCAUAAUAUAUACUGAUUCCAUUUCCACAACUAUUGAUUCUAUUUCCUUAAGUGAAGCUGCAACCUUUCCAAUCUUUCCUCCUCCUUCUGAAUCUGUUCCUACUGAUCCAAUUCCUGAUUCUAGUCUAGCUCCACAUAUGAUAACAAGGUUGAUGAGUGGCAUCACUAAAAAGAAGGUUAUUCUAGAUCUAAUUGCUAUCACAGAACCAUAUACACUCAAUCAAGCUCUAAAGGAUCCACAUUGGGCUAGAGCAAUGGAUUAAGUGAUUGCAGCCCUUCAUCAUAAUCACACCAGGGAUAUUGUUGCUAAGCCUUCUAAUGUGAACAUCAUAGGAUGCAAGUGGGUAUACAAAUUGAAGCACAAGCCAGACAGGAGUAUUGACAGGUAUAAAGUUAGAGUUGUGGCAAAAGGGUAUCAUCAAACACUUGGCCUUGAUUACCGUGAGACAUUCAGCCUAGUAGUCAAAGCUGCAACUAUCUACAUUAUCCUAACCCUUGCUCUUAGUUCUAAAUGGGAAGUACGACAACUUGAUGUCCACAAUGCAUUUCUAAAUAGUGAACUUGAGGAACAAGUCUACAUGUCUCAACCUCCUAGCUACGUGGACACCAAGUAUCCUACCAAAGUUUGUCGAUUGAGGAAAGCUUUAUAUGGCUUGAAACAAGCUCCACGAGCUUUGUUUCAACGACUCAGGUUUGCUCUUUUGUAGUGGGGGUUCAUCACCUCUAAGAUCGAUAGCUCUAUGUUGAUCUCCUCUGGUCAAUCUACAACUUUGAUUGUUCUCAUUUAUGUAGAUGAUAUCCUCAUCAUAGGCAGCUCACAUAUGCAGGUAGAUUCAGUUAUUGCUAAACUGAAUUCUAAAUUUGCAUUGUGAGAUUUGGGAAGACUGACCUACUUCCGAGGUAUUAAAGUCUCUUACCAUGAAUAUUCUAUACAUCUUAGCCAAACAAAAUAUGUUUUUGAUUUACUGCAUAGGACAAAAAUGUUUGACACCAAGCCUAUCAAAACUCCUGGGGCUGUUGGACAUAAUUUAUCUAAAUUUGAUGGUGAGCCUAUAGAAGAUGCAGUGUAGUGGAAGCUCUAUAAUAUCUCACAAUUACAAGGCCUGACAUCACCUUCGCUAUUAAUAAAGCAUGUCAAUUUAUGCAACAACCAACUUCAGCAUAUUGGCUCUCUGUCAAACGUAUUCUUCGAUACCUGUGUGGAACUAUGCAUGAUGGCUUACUCAUAAGUUCCUCAAAUCAGUUGACAAUUGAAGGAUUCAUCGAUGCUGAUUGGGGAGCUCAGCCUGACGAUUAAAGAAGUGCCAGUGGCUACCUCAUUUAUCUAGGGGGUAAUCUAAUUUCUUGGUCCUCUACCAUGCAAAAAUUAGUCUCUCACAACAGUGUAGAAUCGAAGUAUAGGGGGCUUGUUCUAGCUACUGCGGAAAUUAUUUGGAUUCAGGCCUUGAUGCACGAACUAUGUGUUCCUACCCCUGUUGUCCCUAUAUUGUGGUAUGACAACAUUAGUGCCUAUCAUAUGGGCAAACAUUCUGUGUUUCAUGCCCGGACAAAACAUAUAAAAAUUGACAUACACUUCAUUCAUGAUCAAGUUCUACAAGGGAAAAUAUAAUUACAAUUCAUUCAAAUUAAUUUUUUUAUCACUUUAAUAUGCUAAUAUUAAAAAUAAAUUUUUUAACAAUAAUGUUUUUUUUUUAUUUAAAUGCAUUUUAAACUUUAUUACUAAUUAGUUAUGAUCCAUAAUCUUUUUAUUUUUAUUCUCGUGUUUUUUUUUAUUUUUAGAAUAAGGGUAUUCUCAAUUAGAUUGUAAAUGAACCGAAAAUAACCCUCUUUCAUGUCAAAAAUCGGCGACAAAAAAUAGUAGGAUAUACUAGCACACAAUAUUUAAUGAAAUGAUACAGAAAAUGUAUGAGAAAUAUAGUCCAGAUUAUAACCCCUGAAUAAAGGAGAAAAAUCUAAAGUUUGAAAGUUGACGAAGUAAAAUAUAAAUUGAGAUCUAGGCCAACAAGUAUGGAGAAAGAGAAUCAGCUCUAGUACUUUGUUGUUUCAUUGAGAAUACAAUGGGUAGUUUGCCUCACGCCUUCUCGCUGUUCGCUCUAAUUUUGCUCUUGACAUCCGGUACAGGAGCCGAUCAAAGCACCAAGACACAGGCUAUUUUCAAAGGAAGUACUGGAAUAGGAGCUAUUGUGGAUACAAGUUCCCGUAUUGGCAAAGAAGAAAUAGUUGCGAUGGAAGUUGCAAAGGAGGAUUUCUAUGGCUUCGGAAAUCUAACAUUUUUGCUUAUAAACGACUCUCAAAAGGAUACCAUCCAUGCAGCUCUUGAAGGUAACUAUAUGUUUUGCUUUUGAAGUAAGUAUCAUUUGCCUUAAAUUAAGAUAAAUCUAAGCUCACAUCUGUGCUUUGCUUAUAAAGCUAAGCAUCUUAUCGACACACGACAAGUACAAGCCAUUAUAGGACCUCAGACAUGGGAAGAGGUGCCAUUAGUUGCUGAGAUUGCCAGAGAAACACAGGUUCCAAUUCUUUCUUUUGCUGACACAGCUCCAGAAUGGGCGACUGGACGAUGGCCUUCUCUACUUCAAGCUUCACCUGAUAAGCGUGCUCAAAUGAAAGCUGUAGCUGCUAUUGUGCAAUCGUGGAACUGGCAUCAGGUCAUUGUGAUAUAUGAAGAUACAGAUUCUUCAGCAAGGGGGAGUCAUACCACAUCUACAUGAUGCCCUCAGAGAAGUUAAUUCAGACGUAAGCCAAUUUGUAGCCUUCUCUCCUUCUGCUUCUUCUGAUUCAAUGUCCAAAGAGCUUGAGAAUAUCAAAAGCAAGCAGUACUGUAGAGUCUUCGUUGUUCAUUUGUCCUUCAAAUUGGUUGUGCGGUUAUUUGAAAUGGCAAAGAAAAUGGAAAUGAUGCAAAAGGACUAUGUAUGGAUCACAACAGAUCCCAUUACAAGCCUUGUCCAUUCCAUCAAUGCCUCUGUAAUAUCCUCAAUGCAAGGAAUUCUAGGAGUCCGGAGUUACUUCCCUAAAAUGGGACAGGAUUUCGAGACUUUUAAUCAAAGAUUUAGUACACGUUUUAGCAGAAAAUAUCCCCGAGAAGAAAAGAAAGAGCCUGGGAUUUACGCCGUGCAAGCGUAUGAUGCUAUGAGGACAAUAGCUCUUGGAUUAGAUAAGACCGGAAGUAAAAGGGGAGGGAAAGAGCUGUUGGAAAACAUUUUGGACGCAGACUUUCCUGGUUUAUCAGGUAAAGUUAAAUUCAAAAACCAUAAUGUUGCUGCAGCAGAAAUAUUUCAGAUCGUGAAUGUAAUAGGAACGGGUUACAAUGAAAUCGGGUAUUGGUCCAAUGGAUUUGGAUUCUCGGAGAAAAUCCAUGAAAAUUCUAGUUAUAACAGCUCGUCGAUGAUUGAUUUGGAGCAAGUGCAUUGGCCAGGGGGGCCUAGGUCUACUCCAAGAGGAUGGACUGCACUGACAAGUGCUAAGCGAUUGCGAAUCGGAGUGCCUUCCAUUUCAGGCUACGAAGAAUAUGUGAAAGUGGAAAGUGAUGAUCGCUUGGGAACGAACUGUUGGGUAUUUCCAGAACUCAAACACACACAAUUUACGUGGUUCGGCAACUUGCCUACUCCACGGAGCUACUGGGUUGUAUUAAUCAAGCUUACAAAGAAACAAUACAACAACAAGAGGAGGAGAAUCUUCCCAACUCAACUCUACACUCAAGCUCUCUCUCUGUGUUUCUCUCUUUCUCUUCUUCUCACUGUGUUCUUCGUGCUCUCUGUGUUCUUCAUACAUUACACAGCACACACACACACAGCUAUACAUAUAGAAUAGAAAGAACAAAGGGAAUGAUUGAUGCCCACCAUUGCCUCCACUUUGUGUCCUCCACCAUGUGCAAAGUGGGGGAUUAGAUAUUCCCACUUGCACAUGGUGGGACAAGGUUUGUCUCCAAUAAUUAACAAUCUCCCACUUGGAGACAAACAAUGAAAUUAUCUUUUAUCCUUGAAGGCCAACUGAAGUUUUACACAACUUCAGUUUAUCAAGUGUAACUCCUUUGGUUAACAUGUCGGUUGGAUUCUUGCUUCCACAGACCUUUUCUAGCAUUAGUUGCUCGUCGUCCAGCAGUUGUCGGAUGAAGUGAUAUUUGAUCUGAAUAUGCUUCGUCCUGGAGUGAAAUGCUGGAUUCUUGGCAAGGAAGAUUGCACUCUGACUGUCGCUAUACAAAGUACCUUUUCCAUUCAACUUGCCCAAUUCUUUCAAGAAACUCUGCAACCAUACUAUCUCUUUUGCAGAUUCUGAGACUGCAACAUAUUCAGCUUCUGUUGUUGAAAGAGCAACGAUCUUUUGCAAGGUAGAACUCCAGGAAACAGCAGUACCUCCUAGAGUAUAAACAUAUCCUGUAGUGCUCUUUCUGCUAUCAAUCUCCUGCUAGAUCAGCAUCUACAAAACCUUCAAGUUUCAAACCACCAGCUGUGAAACUGAGACAAGUUUCCGAUGAACCUUUUAAGUACCUCAUGAUCCAUUUCACCGCCUCCCAAUGCUGCUUUCCAGGAUUGCUCAUAUAUCGGCUUACAACUCCCACUGCAUGGGCAAUGUCUGGUCUGGUACAGACCAUAGCAUACAUCAAAGAGCCGAUAGCUGAGGCGUAUGGAAUCUUAUCCAUGUAUCCACUUUCUAGCUCAGUUUUUGGUGACUGAUCUUUGCUGAGCUUGAAAUGAUUCCCCAGUGGUGUACUUACUGGUUUAGCAUUAUCCAUACUAAACCUGCUGAGAACCUUCUUGACAUACUCUGUUUGUGAGAGCUUUAGUAUGCCUUUGUCUUUAUCUCUGAUGAUUCUCAUUCCAAGUAUUUGUUUAGCAGCUCCCAGAUCCUUCAUUUCAAACUGUUUCGACAACUGCUGUUUCAGCUUAUCAAUCUCCUCAAUGCUGGAUCCUGCAAUCAACAUAUCAUCUACAUAUAAUAGUAGAAUGAUGUAGGAGUUGUCAAAAUGUUUGACAUAGCAACAAUGAUCAGCUUGGCAUCUUGUAUACCCGGAACUGCACAUGAAGUUGUCAAACUUCUUGUACCACUGUCUUGGAGCUUGCUUCAAACCGUAUAGGCUUUUCUGUAGCUUGCAGACUUGAUUCUCCUUUCCUUGCAUUGCAAACCCCUCUGGCUGUUGCAUGUAAAUAUCUUCCUCCAAGUCACCAUGAAGGAAUGCUGUUUUUACAUCUAACUGUUCAAGAUGUAAAUUUUCUGCAGCUACUAUCCCCAGAACAACUCUGAUUGUUGUGAGCUUCACAACUGGAGAAAAAAUCUCAGAGUAGUCAAUGCCUUUCUUUGUUGAAACCCUUUGACAACAAGUCUUGCCUUGAACCGUUUGCUUCCGUCAUGCUCAGUCUUCACUCUGUAAACCCACUUAUUUGCAAGGCCUUCUUUCCUUCAGGUAAUGUGUUAGCUCCCAAGUCUUGUUCUUCAACAACGAACUCAUCUCAUCCUUCAUGGCUAACUCCCACUUGCUUGAGUUUCCAUCUUGUAAGGAUUCUUCAUAAGAUAACGGUUCACCACCAUCUGUCAGCAAAAUAUAAUUCAGUAAAAGUGUGAACCGUUGCGGGGGCUUUAUCGUCCUCGAAGACCUGCGAACAGCUGGUUCAAUUGGCUCCGCAUCUUCUUGUGUGGAAGUGGGCACAGAUGUGCUUGAAUCUUCUUGUAAAGACUCUUGAUUGUUGUUCUGCUUAGUAACAUCGGGAAGCCCUUCUAAUCUUAUGAAUUCAGAUCUUUGUGGACUUGUAUCUGAAUCAGCCAUCUCUGUUUCUCCACUUGAUCUGUCUUUGUACAUAACUUUCUCAUUGAAGAUCACGUUCCUGCUUCUGAUAAUCUUUCUAUUCUGAUCAUCCCAGAACCGAAAUCCAAAUUCUUCAUCUCCAUAGCCAAUGAAGAAACAUUUCUUGGAUUUGGCUUCUAACUUGUUGCGAGCAUCAGAAUCUAUGUGAACAUAGGAAACACACCCAAAGACCUUCAAAUGAGAGAGUUGUACCUCUUUUCCUCUCCAUACUUCCUCGGGCAGUCUGAAUUCCAAAGGAACUGAUGGUCCACGGUUGAUCAAGUAAACUGCGGUAUGAACUGCGUCAGCCCAGAAUGUUUGAGGUAACCCAGAAUGCAACCUCAUGCUUCUAGCUCGUUCAUUGAUGGUCCUGUUCAUCCGUUCAGCAACGCCAUUCUGUUGCGGUGUGCCUGGAACGGUCUUUUCCAUUCUGAUACCAUUGACAGCACAAUACUCCUUGAAACCUCCAUCAAUGUAUUCUCCUCCAUUAUCAGAUCUCAAGCAUUUCAACUUUAGACCUGAUUCAGUCUCAACCAUAGCCUUCCAUUUCUUGAAUGUUUCAAACACAUCAGAUUUAUUUUUCAGAAAGUAACCCAUACCUUCCUGCUGAAGUCAUCAAUGAAAGUCACAUAAUACCGAGAACCUCCAAGAGAUGCUACUGGAGACGGUCCCCAUAAAUCUGUGUGUACCAGUUCUAGCUUUCUUGGUCGUAAGGUCCUGCCAACCUUCAAGAAACUGACCUUCUUCUGUUUUCCAAGAACACAGCUUUCACAAAUGUCUAGAUCGACAUUUUUUAACUCUGGCAGCUUUCCCUUCGACUGAAGUAUCUUCAUCCCCUUUUGACUCAUAUGGCCAAGUCUACAAUGCCAUAGUGCUUGAUUUUCUGCUUCAGUUGAGGCAAUGAUGUCUGCAAAUCUUGUGGUCAUAUACAGGGUGCCGGUUUUCUUUCCACGAGCUAAAACCAUUGCUCCCUUUGAUACUUUCCACAUUCCUCCAGCAAAAAGUAUUGAAUGACCACUAUCAUCAAGUUGUCCGACAGAGAUCAACUUCUUCUUUAAUUCAGGAACAUGCCUUACUUCUGCAAGGUCCAUAUAGAUCCAUUCAUUGUCUUGAUUUGCACAUCUCCUAUACCCACAAUAUUCAGUGGUGUUCCAUCGGCCAGAUAGACUACACCGUGAUCUCCUCCAACAUAAUUUUGCAGCAUUUCAUUGUGUGGCGUACAGUGGAAUGAAGCACCAGAAUCAAGAAUCCACUCAUCAAUUUGACUAUGUACAGCAAGAAUUAAAGCAUCUUGUACCUCAUCUGUGGUAGCGUUUGCAGAGUCAGCUUCAGGUUUCUUCGGUUUUGUGCAAUUCCUACUGAAAUGACCAGGUUUGCCACAAUUCCAACAUUCAACCUGCUUUCUGGAUCCAAACUUGCUUUUACUUCUGUAUCUGGAUUUUGAUCUGCCUCUGGAUGAGCCUCUAUCGUGUCUCCUCCCUCGAGUGUUGAUGUUGAGAGCUGAUCCUGAGCUUGAACUUUCACCCGAGUCUUUCCUUCGCACUUCUUCAGCCAAAAUCAAGUCUCGAAUGUCAUCAUACUUCAGUUUGGAUUUUCCAGCUGAAUUGCUCACGGCUGUCCUCAUGCCUUCCCAACUGCUUGGAAGUGAAGCUAGCAAGAUGAGUGCACGAAUCUCAUCAUCAAACUCAAUCGCAACAGAUGAUAAUUGAUUUGUGAUGGUAUUAAAGUUGUUGAGGUGUUGUGUCACAGAAGCGUUUUCAACCAUCUUCAAGUUGAACAACUUUUUCAUCAGGUGCACUUUAUUAUUUGCUGAUGGCUUCUCAUAUAUCCCAGACAAGGCUUCCAUCAAUUUUGCAGUGGAUUUUUCUUUCGUAACAUUGUGAGCAACUCUUUUUGAUAACGAUAGCCGGAUAAUGCCCAGAACUUGUCUAUCAAGAAGUUGCCAUUCUUCUUCUUCCAUCUUUUCUGGUUUGCUUCCCAAUAAGGGAAGAUGAAGUUUCUUCCCAUAUAAAUAAUCUUCAAUUUGCAUUUUCCAGUAUCCAAAAUCUGUUCCGUCAAAUUUUUCAAUUCCAGCAGCCUUUAUUUCAUCUGCCAUUUUUACUUCUCCGAUUCGAAUUUCCCAAAUUUGACUUUACAGAUGUGUCCAGAAGGGCCAAAAACCUUACAGAUCACCCCAAUCGGACUUCGGAUGGCUCAGAUUUUAGCAAUCAAAGUUUUGGAUUAACGGACGGUUCAGAUGCAGUCGCGUGUCAGACAGAGUACUGCCUGCGUCGCACCGGAUAAAAACUCAGAAGCGGUUCUGAUGAAGACACGUGUCAGCAGAUUAGAGCCUGCGUCACACCGGAUUAAAACUCAGUAACGGUUCAGAUUAAGUCACGUGUCAGCAGAUCAGAGCCUGCGUCGCACCAGAGCAAAACUCAGUAACGGUGCAGAUUAGGCCACGUGUCAGCCGAUUAGAGCCUGAGUCGCACCGGAUCAAAACUCAAAGGCGGUGCAGAUGGAGCCACGUGUCAGCAGAUCAGGGCCUGCGGCACACCGGAGCAAAACUCAGUAUGCUGACAGGGCAAGUGACGUGGCAAGUGACGUGUCAGGUGACGUGGACGUUGGCCGUGCGACUUGCUGACGUGGCGGGUCAGACCCGACCCGUUUUACAGAAACCGGGCGAAGAAGGAGCGUGGCGCGCGUGGGCAGUGCUAGCGUCGGCGCGUGUGGGCGCGUGGGGGCAUGCAGGACGUCGGUUCUUCGCCGGGUUUUCACCAGUGGAUUCGUCCGGUUGUGCUCUACACAGUGGUAUGUUCAAAAACACGUUUGGAGAACUUUGAGUUUUGAGUUUGGAUCAAACACCCUCUUUUUCAAGAACAUGCUCUGAUACCAGUUGUUGGGUAUUUCCAGAACUCAAACACACACAAUUUACGUGGUUCAGCAACUUGCCUACUCCACGGAGCUACUGGGUUGUAUUAAUCAAGCUUACAAAGAAACAAUACAACAACAAGAGGAGGAGAAUCUUCCCAACUCAACUCUACACUCAAGCUCUCUCUCUGUGUUUCUCUCUUUCUCUUCUUCUCACUGUGUUCUUCGUGCUCUCUGUGUUCUUCAUACAUUACACAGCACACACACACACAGCUAUAUAUAUAGAAUAGAAAGAACAAAGGGAAUGAUUGAUGCCCACCGUUGCCUCCACUUUGUGUCCUCCACCAUGUGCAAAGUGGGGGAUUAGAUAUUCCCACUUGCACAUGGUGGGACAAGGUUUGUCUCCAAUAAUUAACACGAACUCCUCUGGUUUUGCAAACGAGGUCUUCAAAGCAAUGACAGCAAGCAUGCCAUUCUUUCUGCCAUACGAGUUCCAAUACUUCAAUGGAAGUUACAAUGAACUUGUAGAGCAACUUCAUCUAAAGGUAAGAGGCAGCUUGAUAGAGUGAAAUGAUUAAUUAAAUUUUCAUUAAUUGAUCAUGCAUGCACGCAUAUUCUGAAAAAAAAGAAAAGAAAAAAUACUUUAGACUAAUCAUACUUUGUUGUACUUGGACUUUUUGCCCACAACACCAGAAUUUUGACGCAGCUGUUGGUGAUGUGGAAAUAGUUGCAAGCCAAUAUGCAGAAUUCACCUAUCCAUUUACUGAAACAGGAUUGGUGUUGAUCGUCCCGGUCCGUUCGAGCAGUAAAGCAUGGUCGUUUAUUAAACCGUUCACCACAACCAUGUGGGUUUUAAUCUCAGUGAUUACAGUCUACAAUGGCUUUGUUGUUUGGUGGAUAGAGCGAAAUCAUUGUGAUGAACUACAAGGCUCCAUCACAACUCAAAUUGGGAUCAUGAUUUGGUUAUCCUUCAACACUCUUUUCUCCUUGAAUGGUAAAUUAAAGUUUUUAGUUUCAAUCAGUUUCCUUCUUUGAUUUGAACUUUUGAAAAUAUAUAACCAAUCCUUUAACAAGCAAUUAAUUAACAAUAUCUUGCUGACAACAAUUUGAUUUAGGGCCAAAGCUUCAUAGCAAUCUAUCAAGGAUGUCAGGGGUGGUGUGGCUGUUUGUGGCUCUAAUCAUCAUCCAGACGUACACAGCCAACCUCACAAGCAUGCUAACUGUACAGAGGCUUGAACCCACUAUACCAACCGUUGAAGAACUGUUAAAUAGCAAUGCAAUGGUUGGAUAUUGUUCAGGUUCCCUUAAGGAAAGAUAUUUGGCGGAAGUUUUACAAUUCAAGAACCAAAACAUUCUGCAUUUUCAGUCAGCAGAAUGUUAUGCUAAAGGCUUCGAGGACAAGAAAAUUUCUGCUGCCUUUCUUGGAAUUCCCAGUGCCAAGAAAUUCCUUGCAAAAUACUGCAAUAGCUUCAUCCAAAUUGGCCCAACGUACAAAAUUGGAGGGUUUGGAUUUGUAAGAUCUCUCGCUCAUAUUUAUUCACCUUUUCCGUUCAUUAAUAAUUUUCCUGAAGUUACUAUUGGUAAUUUACAUUCUUACGGGCCAAACCAAAAUAUUCAUAUAGGAUUAGUUCUUGUAAAAUUUGUAUUAGGGCCAGAGGCUUUUUGUUGACUUUGUAGGCAGGUUGGACCACAAAUUACAAGGUGUUGAGUUUGACCAAAGGAAACUAACAAUGAAAUCUUUGAUUUUGAACAAAAUUAGUGGGAGAGAGAUCACUUAGAUAGGUUCAAUGAAUCAUUAAAUAUAAGUUGAAUAAAUUAGUAGGUUAUGGUAAAAGACACAUGCCUAAUCUUAGGCUUAUUUGCUUCGAAAUACUAACAUGUCGAAAUAUAUAUAUAUAUGAAUUUAAACAUGAACUUAAGGAGUGAUUAAAUUUUUACAUGGUUAAUUUGUUUUCCAGGCGUUUCCGCGUGGAUCUCCAUUACUUGCUAGCGUGAACGAGGCUCUACUGAAUUUAUCAGAAAAGGGAGCGCUACAAGAACUUGAGAAAACAUGGAUUACCCCACAAAAAUGCACGAAGAUGCCAGGUGAUGACAGCCUUGGUCCAGUGGAUUUCGAGAAUUUUCUUAUAACUGGAGGCACAACAACAAUUGCCUUCGUCAUAUACGUUUGUCGCACUAAUUUGUUGAGGCAUAAAAACAUAUGGGGAAUUAUCUCAGCUGUACUGAAACGUUGGGUCUCUCCGAGGAGGCACUUCACUAGAAGAGUACGUAGAAAUUUCACUACCAGAAAUUCAUCUAAAACCAAUGAAAUUAUCGACGGAAUAAUUAUGUCGGUAAAUUAUAAUGAUAAUUAUUGAUGGUCAAUAUUCCAUCUGUAAUUCAGUCAGUUUUUUCUGACAGAAUUACAAACGGAAUAUAUAGAAUUUCUUAAAAAAAAAGCGGUUCAAUGACGUGGAAGUUUUUGUGGGUGAUUUUACCGAGGGAUUCAAACUGGGAUCUCUGUACAGUGACAUGACCAAUUCACGUCAGAAUUACCGAUGGAAUCACCGACAAAAGAGUCCGUCGGUGAUUCCAUCGACAAAAGUUAAUAUAUCAUCACCUACUUAUCUCUCCUCCCCUAUUUCUCCUUCUUCUUCCCCAUCCCAACUCUCCUCCCAAUUGCAAACAACCCCCCUAAAAAUAUCCCCUUCUUCCAGCACAAGUCAUAUUUCUUUAAGUUUUAUGUUCACAACAUCUGUGUUUCUGAUUUAUUGUGGAUUUUAUCAUUUUUUGUAAGUAAAUAUUUUUAUUGUUUUUAGAAAUAUGUAUUUUGUUAAUGUAUGUACAUGUUUUAUUGUUAUUUCUCAAACAAACUUUGUAGUAUGAAUGUAUAAUUUUGUACUUGUUAUGGUUUGUUUUAGAUUUUGUAAAAUUGUACUUGUUUGUAAAUUGUUGAAACUUUGUUGAAUUACCGAAUUACAUGUGUUGUAGUAAAAUAAUUAAUAGCUUGUUUAACGGGUCCGUUUUAAUUUUUAUCAAUGCUAUUGCGGAGUUGUAAUUUUCUUAAAUUUAUAUGUAUAAAUUUGUAGGGAUGUUGAUAAUUGAUAAUGAAUAUUUAUGAGAAGUUUUAAUUAGGUUGUUGGAUAAUCUGGAGGUAAACCAAUUUUUUUGCAAAUUUAUUUACCAAACAUAGUUAAUUAAUACAUGUUGUCAUCAUAAUUUUAUAGAGGUUCGAUAAAAGUCAUGGAUGAUCGUUCAUGGAUGUAUUGAGAUUCACCCUAAGGAAUGCGGAGGAUGGAUUAUUGUCUCACCCUCGCGCGGAGUGGGGAUAUGGUGUUGGGGUUUUUGUUUUUGUGAAUAAGAGAGUUGCCACCUAGUAUUAUGGUCACUAAGAAAUCUAACUGGUCUUUCAGAGAUUCUAAUGCAAGGAACUAGUUGCGUAAAUGGAAGGUAUUAACACCCAUAGUAUGCCUUAUCUAAGGUAAGCUACUUGGUGUUUGAUUUGCCUUGUUAUGUUGUUGGUGUUCUCUAAUCAAUUUUCCUAUGAUAGGUUUGCUAUGAUGAAUGAACUUGGGUUCAAAGUCUAAAAGAAAGAACCCUUGGUCAAUGUGGAUCACACUUUAAGAUAUGUCUACAAAGUACCAAGGAGAACCAAUGUAGAUCUCUUGAAAUCUGUGUUUGGUUCAUACUAAAUUUAUAACCUAUGAUUUAAGAGAUAGUUAAGAUAUAAAUCCAAGGAGAUUCAUUGUGCUUUAAAAAACUCAUUUUUCCCUUAGUAUUUCAAGUAUUUGCGACUCAUAAAUCACAAGGAAGAGGAACAAAAAAAACUAAGUUAGAAAUCUAAGAAAAUUCCAAGUGCUUUAAAAGCCCUUUUCUGCCUUAUUAUUUCAUACUUUCACGACUCGUAAACCGUGGAAUCUAAAUUUGAAAUGUCCCCACUUAUAAUUGAGGUUUCUUUCAAGGAUGUAUGAUGACUUCUUAUUUCUAGAAAAAUAUUUUGGAUAUUAAUCACUUGAGGUUUCUUUAUCCAAACAUUAACAGCGAAUAAUAACCAGUUACUCCUAAUAAUAUUUUCGAUAUUCAUCCCUUUAGGAUUUAUUUAUCCAUACAUUAAUGGUGAUUAAUAGAUGAAUUCUCCCAAAAAUAAGAUUUUUGUAUUUUUUAGAAUAUUGGCUAGCACCCUUUAGAGUUUUACAAACAUGUUGUAAAAUCCAGAAUGCAAGAAAGUAAUUUUUUGUGUUUAAGAAAAUCCAUGCUAAAACACAUUUUCUUUUAAACUUUGAAUAUUUGUUUAAAAGAGGAAAUUCAAAAUAUGUUAGGGUAUUGGUCAUAUGCAUGAAAAUAUUUUUAUAUAUAUAUAUGUAUAUUUACCGCAUUUGUGUUGAAAACCAGGUAUUCUAAAUGCGAGAUUGAUAUUUUUUACAAUAUAAAAAAACAGACUUUAAAAUAAUAUGCUUGAAAGUAAUAAAUCUCUCUCUUUGUUUUUUAAUAUAUAUUUUUUGGGCUGGGUCUAGCUCACCCAUGUGGUGGGGCUGGACCUAGCCGGGUCACAUGCCCAGACCAGUGAUUGGCUGGGUAAAUAAAUGCAUCCUUAGUUACUAUUAGAGUGAAUUAUAAUUCAGUUGAACAAUAACAAAAGCAUGCAUAGUAACCGUGUAAUUAAAUUUGAAAAAGUGGAAAGAGUGUAGGGUGCUUACCUGAUAGCUAAUGGGUGAAGAUGAUGAUGUUGUAGUUUCUUGCCCACAACCGGUUAUCACUGAUUCUAGAGGCAAUGAUGAACGCUGAUAAAACUGGUGUUGGUCUAUGUCUUUCUCUUCUAGUUGAUGCUCUCUCCAGAGAUGGCGAAGACGAUGAUGAAGGUGUGAUGUGCUGGAGGAAUGAAUUUUUUCCCUCUGUGUUUUCUUGCUCUUUCUCUAUUUUCUUGUGGGUUGCUUCUUCGGCUAAUACCUACUCCUGAGGGUUGAGGGUCUACGAGUUAGUGAUGGUUGUCAGGGCUGAAAAUGACUCCACGAUUGUAGUCGGUGCACGAUGAAUGGGCUGUUGAGAAGCACUAGUGAAGAGAUUGUUGUGUUGGUGAAAAAGAAGUUGCAUUAUUGGUCUACUGGUAAGGACGCCGCUGGUGCAGAAGAAGGAGGUGUUUUUAUUGCUUUCCAGAGCUCACCGUACCUAUGGAAGAAAAAGUUGCACCACUGGAGGAGAAGAAACAGAAGAUGAGAACAAAGGGACGAAGGUGAUGGUGAAGGUGUGUUGCUUGGUCUCUCUGUGUUUUAAUAUAUUUAUGCUCUUUACUUCUACUUGUCCCUGUCUUGCUCUCGUGUUCAUUCUCUCUAUUUUUUCACCUUUUUUAUGGGUUUGUUUCUUCAUAUAUAUGUAUAUGUGUGUGUGUGUGUUUAUGUUUUGUUCUCUGAUUUUCUUUCUCAUGCUUCCCUUGUUUCUCCCUCUAUAUAUUUUUUCUUCCUCCCCCCCCCUCUCUCUCCUCCUCUGUCCUCUCUAUUGUUUUUAUGUUCGUCCUUCCUCUCAUUCGCGUCCAUCUUGUCUUUACUGAGAAGAGAUGGUUGCUGCUGCUAUGGCUAGUGCAUGCUCAUAGUAAGAAAAGGGAGUGAGGGAUGGUGCUUAAGGGGCUCUCGGUGAGAGGGAGACUACCUAGGGAGGAGAUGGUGGUCAUGGUUUGGGGAAGAUGGUGGGUUGUUGAUGAGAGGGAGAGGGGACAAUAUGUUUCCAGAGAGAGAUCCCUAGUUUCUUCGAAGGGAGUGGCUGCUUCGAUUUUUUAUUUUAAAAGAUCAGUAGGGGGCUACGACUUCUUUGCUAGAGAGGAUAGGGUUAGGGUUUUUUUUUUUGUUUCCCCUAAUUUUUGUUUAUCUCUCUGCCCCUCUUUUUGCAUAUUGUUGGAUGUUUACUUAUAUAGAAAUCUCUACACAUGCUAUUUAAGGAAAUAUUGCAAUAAUUAUUGCAUAAAUUAUCUUCUAUAACCAACACCAACAAAUCCUAUAUUUAUGGUAUUUUAUAUUACAGUAAUUAUUUUUCAUAACCAGCAGCAAUCAAAUCCUAGAUCUAUGAUAUUUUAUAUUGCAGUAAUUAUAUACAGUAAUUAUCUCCUUGAUAUAUUGAGUUUAAUAAUUAUGGCGGAUCUAUGUUAUUAAUCUUAGGGAGAAUAUUCAAUCAAAUCAAACAUAGACUUGGACAGUUAUGUUUUCUUUAUUAAUCAACUUAGUAAGCUUGUAAAGAAAACAAAAGGUCUUCCUUGCUUACUAAGUGAUCCACUCAUAUAAAGACUUUGCUUUUUAAAAGAAAAUGGUCUUAUUAUCUUGGGUAACCUGCCCCUUUUGAAAAAACAUGGUCUAUUUUCACUAGCGAACUACCAACACACUCACACUGGUCUAUUUUCAUAGGGGACCUGCCCACACAUACUCAUUUUGGUCUAUUUUCAUAGGCGACUAGCCCACGCAUACUCACCUUGGUCUAUUUUUAGGGGCGACCUACUCACGCACACUCAUACUGGUUUAUUUUCAUGAGCGACCUGCCUUUUUUAUUGGGUUAACCUGAGAUCCAAUUUGGCGAUCUCCUUUAACUAUAACCAAAAUCGGUGUGUAGCUUAGUCAACCUGAAAUCCCAUUUGGCGAUUCCUUUCAACCAAAGCUGAAUUCUAUGUGUGAUUUGGUUAACCUGAGACCCCAUCUAGUGAUCUUCUUUAACCAGAACCAAAAUCAGCGUGUAGCUUCGUCAACCUAAAAUCCUAUAUGGCGAUUCCCUUUAAUUAAAGCUAAAACUCGGUGUGUGGUUAGGUUAACUUGAGAUCCUAUCUGGCAAUCUCUUUAACCAGAGACUGAGGAUGUGUGUGUGGUCAUUGUAAUGGGUGACCUACCUAGAAAAAAUGAUGGUCAUAUUGUGAUGGGUGACCUGCUAAGUGGAAAAAGUGAUGGUCUCAUUGUGAUGGGUGAUACCGAAAGAAAAAAUUAUUGUCUCAUUAUGAUGGGUGACCUACCAAAGAAAAAAAUGUUCUCAUUGUGAUGGGUGACCUACUUGUUUAGUACUUAAAAAGUGCAUUUUUUAUCAAGGUUUAUAUCAUCAUUUUGCCCUUGAAGUAUCAAUAACUCCUUAAUAAGAGCAUGUUUUAUAAUAACAUGUAUAAUAAUAUAAGAUACCUUUAAUUAUGGUAAAUGUUCAUCUUAAAUGCAGGCCUAUCACAUAAAUCAAAAGGAUUGAUUGAUGAGUUUAACUACUGAAAUUGAGAAGAUAAAGAGAGGUUAAGCUUAGAAAAGAGAUGCUGGUUUAGUCCAAACUGGAACACCAUUCAGUUAUUGAUCAUAACUAGAGCUGUAGAACUUGGAUUUUGGUCUGGUUUAUAUGUAUGGAAAUCUAAGACAUAGGUCUAAAACUUUCAUAAAGAGUCAAAGAUUUAAAAGUGUCAUUUUCAAGUUUAAAAUGGUAGCAACAACGAAGAAGUCAAAAUCUAUCAUAUAGCCUAGACAUUGUGCAAUGUUCAACCCAUAUCUUGAGUUCUAGAAGUCCAAAUGACCUCAUUCUUGUUUUGUUGGAAAUAUGGGACAAUGUCCCAAAACUUUCAUGAAGACUAUUUGUUCAAAUUAUGAUGUUAACAAUGAUGUUUUUUGCAGAUAAGAAGAUAAGGAUUGAUACUAAGUCAAGAGGUGGCCACCCACUCAACAAUUAGUCAUCAAAUCAAUAAUUUGGAAUUUUGGCCUAUAAAAGGAGGCAUUUGCCAUGUAUUUAGGCAUCUUGGUUUUCAGAUCAAGAUCAUAUUCUUGCUUUCUUUCUUUGUAUUUUUGUAAUGUUUAAGUUUUGUUUUUAUUAAUCUCUUGUUUAUGCUUUUCAUGAUAACUAUGUUCUUAUCUUGUUUAUUUAUGUUUCUCUCUUUCAUUAUGUUUAGUUAAGUUUAUUAUGUAAAGGUGAAAAGGUUAUACUAAUGAUGUAAGAAUAAGUAUAUGUAAACUCAAUGUCGCACGUCGAAAAAUCCCGCGCGCGGCAUCGGCUGGCGAUUCAUGUCUCGUUGUGGCAUUGCUUGAAUUGGUUCGUUGGGAGUCGCCACCUAGUAUUUAAUUGAGGUUACUAGGAAACCCUGGUGGACUGGUCAUGGUCAAAGAUUCGCGGGUAAGGGACUAAUUGUGGUUAGGGAAGGUGUUAGCACCCCUAACGCACCCUACUUGAGGUAAGCUGCUUUAUGGACUUGACGUGUUAAAGAAGUUUUAAAAAUUUUGUCUUUUCAUCGGAUUUUAAAAAUACAACUUCCGUACAAGUUUGUAUUUCUACACCGUGAUCCAAUCAAAAUAUUAAAUCCUUCUUUAUUCUUUGCUGUCUCAUCAAAAAAACAAUUCAUUAAACAAAUGUAUACAUGCAUUUUUUAUUAUAUAUUUCUUUCUUUUUCUUUUUCUUUUCUUUUAAUUCAAUAACAUACAUAAAAAAAAUACAAACACACACACACAUCUCUUUUUUAUUAUUUUUUUCUCUUUUCUUUUACAUUCACCUUUACACAAAAUAAAUUCAAAACAAAUAAAUACAAAUUACAUUAAUAAAUUUAAAUUUUACAAAAACAGUCCCUAAAAGUCCAGAAAUUGCAUUGAAGGACACUGCCGGAACUGCUGAACAGUGGCGGCGCGUCUUCCCACGUGCCACCGCCACUGGCGGCGCGUGGGUGCACGCGCCGCCCAGAAAACUGAGAAAACAGAGGCGCCUGGAGCGGCUUCUUCUCCUCUUCAAUUUUCAGCCGGCGGUAAGGGCCCGAUCACCUGCAAACACAAGAAAAACGCAAACAAAGCAGUUGAUUUUAGUUUUUUGUUUCGGAUCUGCUCAUUACAAAUCUGUUCUUUUCGUUUCCCCAGGCGACGGUCGGCUCUGAGGGGAGAAGAAGAUGGCGGGGUCGCCGCUGCGUUUGGUGGAGGAGCUGGAGACGGCGCCGAAGGAGAUGACGAAGACUGCUGGAGGCAGUGAGCUGGGUGUGGCUGGAAAUGGCUGGGACUAUGGAGGCAACAACCAACCUCUGUUUCUGGGAGAACCGAGAGAGGGAGGCUGUGGAUUGGAGACGGCGCUGCUGGCUUACUGGCGGUGAAAACCGGCUGAAAGGAGAGUGAGGCAGAUGAAGGAGAGCGUGUCCGAUGCUCUCUGGUUCCUGGCCUCAAUAGAGAAGGAAGGGGAUGAGCAGCGGCUGGUUUCUGUGGGUGAGAGGGUUUGGUGCUUAGAAAAAUUGGAACCGGGGAGUGGUUCUGCGUUGUUAGCUGAAAAUGAGAGGAAAUGGGGGGAAGAUUAGUUGUGGUUUUUUAAGGACAACGAAGGCUGGUCUGCUCGUGUUUGGCUGCAACCGAGAGGGCUGAGGGAGAGAUUGAGGUUGAUUUGUGAGGUGAGAAUGAAGGGAAAAUUGGCUGAAGAGAGGUGCCUCUGUUUUUCAAAGAGAGGGGGUCAGUUCCUGGCUCGCGUGGGAGAUGCCGAAAUGAUCAUGGGAGCAAAAAUCUCUAGAGCUCCUGUUCGGGCCAGGGAGCUCUGGUUCUCUCUUUUCAAACGAGACUCUGCAAAGGCAGCUCAACAGGGAAUAGAGGCUUGAUCGGCGGCUCCAGAAAAAGAAAAUCAAAAUGGAGGAGCCUCCUUGUUUUUUGUCGAGGAGAAAGGUGGCGGCUCAGGGAGCCAAAAAUAAAAACCAGUGGGGGGCUGUGCGCAGAGAAGGAAAAAAUUUCCCGAAAGGGAGGGGGUCUCCCUGGCGGCCGCUGUCAGUAGAGACUAAGAGUUUUUUUUUUAGGGUUCUUUCUUUCCUCCUUAAAUUACAAAAUGAACCCCCCUCCAUAAAAUGAGUUAAAAACUGCUAUUUAUAGGCAAAACAUUUUUUCGGGUUUCCAAAUCGGUCCCCCGAUUUUUUUGUGUUCAAUUGACUUGGUAAAAAUUAAAUUUGAUCUUAAAAUUUUAAUCUUUUCAAAUCAGUCCAAAUUAAGCUCCCAAACUUAAUUUUUCACCAAUUAAGCCCCCAAAUUAAUUUGACCCAUUUAAAGUAUAAUCAAGUCCUUUCACUUAAUUAAAUCCUUCAAUUGGACCUAAAUUUAUUCUCAAACAUAAUUAAAAUUUAAUUUGACCCAUGAUUAAAUCAAAUUGGCCCAUUAAAAAUUUAAUUAUGUCAUUGGACUUAAUUUUUAUGCAAAUUCAUCCAAUAAUCAUUUGAUUUGACCUUCGAAUAUGCAUUUAAUUUGACCUUCGAUUUUUGCCUAUUUUUGCAGUCUUUUUUUAUUGGCUUUCUCCGCAGUGCCAGCCUUUAUUUUAUUUUUUAUUUUUUUUAUUUUAAAAAAAGUGAAAUUUAGGGAAUAACCCAAAAUUGGGUUAUGACAGUUGCCCCCCUCUUUACAAUGCUUAUGAUAGAAAGUCUCGUAGGGGACUUUAGAUAGUAAGCGUUGUAAAGAAGAAAAAAGGAAGAUGUUUUUUUUUUUUUUUUUUUUUUAAAUUCAAAGAUUUUGAAAUGGUCGAAUUGUCAUGGGUGACCUACUCGGGUGAAAAACACGAAGAUGUUUUAAAGUGGUGAAAAAUACAGAGAUUUUUCAAAGAGGUGAAAAAUACAGAGAUUUUUCAAAGUGGUGAGAAAUACGAAGAUUUCUAAAAAUAGUUUUAUUGUUAUGGGCAACCGGCCCAGAUGAAAGGUUUUGAAAAAUACAAAGAUUUUUUCAAAUAGGUGAAAAAUGCAGAGAUUUUUCAAAGUGGUGAGAAAUGCAAAGAUUUCUCAAGAUGGUGAAAAAUUUUAGAGGUGGUGAGAAAUGCACAGAUUUCUCAAAAUGAUGAAAAAUGCAAAGAUUUUUCAAAGUGGUUUUGUUGUAAUGGGCAAACGGCCCAAUUGAAAGGUUUUGAAAAAUACAAAGAUUUUUUCAAAGAGGCAAAAAAUGCAGAGAUUUUUCAAAGUGGUGAGAAAUGCGAAGAUUUCUCAAAAAUGAUCUUGUUGUGAUGGGCGACUUGCCUAGAUGGAAAGUGAUGAAAAAUGCAAAGAUUUUUCAAAGUGGUGAGAAAUACAAAGAUUUCUCAAAGUGGUGAAAAAUGCAGAGAUUUUUCAAAGUGGUUUUAUUGUAAUGGGCAACCGGCCCGAUGGAAAGGUUUUGAAAAAUACAAAGAUUUUUUCAAAGAGGUGAAAAAUGCAGAGAUUUUUCAAGAUGGUGAAAAUUUUUGGAGGUGGUGAGAAAUGCAAAGAUUUCUCAAAGUGGUGAAAAAUUCCAAGAUUUUUCAAAGUGGUGAGAAAUACAAAGAUUUCUCAAAGUGGUGAAAAAUACAGAGAUUUUUCAAAGUGGUGAGAAAUGCAAAGAUUUCUCAAAGUGGUGAGAAAUGCAAAGAUUUCUCAAAGUGGUCUUGUUGUGAUGGGCAACCGGCCCAAGUGAAAAAGUUUGAGAGUGGGGAGAAAUGCAAGGAUUUCUCAGAAUUGGUGAAAAAUGUAAAGAUUUUUCAAGGUGGUGAAAAAUGCAGAGAUUUUUCAAAGUGGUUUUAUUGUUAUGGGCAACCGGCCCAAAUGGAAGAUGAAAAGAGUUUUGAAAGAGGUCUGAUUAUAAUGGGUGACCUACCCAGGCGAAAAGGCAAAAUGUCUGAAAGGGACAGCAUGAUAGGACUCGAUGGGGAACGAAGGCUGAAGAGCGCACUCAAAAGGAGGUAGGGUUAGAAAAACACACUACCUAAGAGGUGAGUGCUCCAAGGCGCACUCUAAAGGAGGCAGGGUUGGAAAACACACUACCCGAGAGGUGAGGGCUCGAAGGAGCUCUCAAAAAGAGGCAGGGUUGGAAAACACACUACCUAAGAGGUGAGGGCUCGAAGGAGCAUUUGAAAGGAGGUAAGGUUGGAAAACUCACUACCUAAAGUGGUGAGGGCUCGAAGGAGCAUACGAAAGGAGGUAAGGUUGGGAAACGCACUACCUAAAGUGGUUGAAGGCUCUAAGGCACACUCAAAAGGGGAGUUAGGGUCAUAAAACACACUACCUAAAGGGGUUGUUAGCUCGAAGGCGCGCUAAAAAAGAGGCAGGGUUGGAAAACGCACUACCUAAAGGGUUAAGGCUCGAAGGCGUACUAAAAAAGGAGGCAGGGUUGGAAAACACACUACCUAAAGGUGAUCAAGGGUUCAAAGGUGCACUCGAAAAGAGGUAAGGAGGUAAGGUUGGAAAAUGCCCUACCUAAGGUGGUUAAUGGCCCUAAGGCGCACUUAAAAAGAGAUAGGGUUGGAAAACGCACUACCUAAGGGUUUGAUGGCUCUAAGGCGCACUUAAAAGGAGAUAGGGUUGAAAAACGCACUACCUAUAGGUGAUCGAAGGCUCUAAGGCGCACUCAAAAGGGGAGGUAGGGUCAGAAAAACACACUACCUAAAGUGGUUGAUGGCUCGAAGGCGCACUAAAAAGGAGGUAAGGUUGGAAAACACAUUACACAAGAGGUGAGGGCUCGAAGGAGCUCUCAAAAAGAGAGGCAGGGUUUGGAAAACACACUACCUAAGAGGUUAGGGCUCGAAGGCGCACUCUAAAGGAAGUAGGGUUGAAAAACACACUACCCGAGAGGUGAGGUAUCGACGAUAUAUUCGAAAGGAGGUAAGGUUUGAAAACGCACUACCUAAAGUGGUGAGGGCUCAAAGGCGCCCUUAAAAGGAGAGGUAGGGUCAGAAAACACACUACCUAAGAUGGCUGGAGGCUCUAAAGCGCAUUCAAAAGGAGGUAUGGUUAGAAAACACAUUACCCAAGGGGUGAGGGCUAAAAGACGCCCUCAGAAGGAGGUAGGGUUGGAAAACACACUACCUAAAAGGUUAUGGCUCAAAGGCACACUAAAAAAGAGGUAGAGUUAGAAAACACACUACCUAAAAGGUUAGGGCUCAAAGGCACACUAAAAAAGAGGUAGGGUUAGAAAACACCCUACCUAAGGGGUGAGGGCUAAAAGACGCCCUCAGAAGGAGGUAGGGUUGGAAAACACACUACCUAAAAGGUUAGGCUUCAGCAACCCGCUCAAAAAGAGGUGAUGGUGAGACACCGAUCUGUCAAGGAUGAAAGUAAUGCAUCAUGAUCAAUAUGCAUGUAUACUUACCUGAGAAGUACAGGUCCCCUUUUUCUUCAUGGAGUUCUCCUUUUCUCAAAAGUUUGAGUCUCUGAUAAUAAGCUUUGAUGGCUCUUUUCGCUCUUGCUUACUCGAGUCAUAUCUUACGAUCUUGGCCUCUAAGAAAGACUUGAUGUCAUCAUUUCUUUGUUCUCCGCCCCUUUUAUCUCAAGGGUUGCAAAUUUUGCCCAAUAGUUUCUUCGAAAGGGAAUCACGGAGCAAGCUCUACCAGAUGUUUUUGAUUGCCCCCUAGCUUGAUCAUGCCCCCAAGUAUUCAAUUCGGGUUUGGGGAUGAGGCUAUGUGACGGAAGGUUUGACAAGGAGUUGUUUUCAUGCAGAAUUUUUGGAAUUUCAAAGCUAUUCCAGACACAGAAAUCAUUUUAACAUCGAUUCAAAGCGAACUCAUUCUGAAGAAAUUCAAGUGAUUCCUAUGGAGAGGUUUUCAGAAGUGAUGAAAACUUUUUUUUUGUUUUGAUUUUUGGUGAAAAAUAUGAAGUGACAUCUGGUUGGUCACAAAAGGUUUAAAUUUCAAUGAAGUGACAUCUGGUUGGUCACAAAAGGUUUGAAUUUCAAUUUGAGGGUUAUUGAGAACCGUCGGUGAAAAUGUGAUGAACACGAAGUGACAUCUGGUUGGUCACAAAAGGUUUAGAUUUCAAUGAAGUGACAUCUGGUUGGUCACAAAAGGUUUAAAUUUCAAUGAAGUGACAUCUGGUUGGUCACAAAAGGUUUAAAUUUCAAUGAAGUGACAUCUGGUUGGUCACAAAAGGUUUGAAUUUCAAUUUGAGGGUUAUUGAGAACCGUUUUCAAAGCAGUCAUUUUAUUUGCAUGAAUAAUGAUUUUAUUUCGCAUGAGAAAGCACUGCCUACCGAUCCAGAUUGCUUGCCUUUGAUCAGAAAGGGCUUCAUUAGGCAUGUAAUGUAGGCUUGGGCUUUUGGCUAUGAAGAAAAUGAUAUAUGUAGGCUCAAAAGGUGUUUAAGGGACUUUAAGACUAAGGAUCACAAGUGCUUAUAUCCCAAACUCUUUUGUUCAUACAUUUCUGGACCUUGGAAUUGAUUUGUAAAAUGGUCCACGGUGCCCCCAGUGUUGGGCUUGGGCUUUUUCUCUUUGUUUUUGUUUUCUUCAUUUGAUUUUGAGCAUCAUUGCAUUGGCCUUUUUUUUUGCUCAAAUUUUUGGAUCCUUUGGAUUUUUCUUCAUGCCCCCUAGCUUUGUAUGGGCACCUUUGAUGAUUGAGAAUUUUCUUUUAUGCCCCCCAGUAUUGUUUGGGCACUUUCAUUGUUGAAGACUUUUUCAUGCCCCAAGAGUUAUUUGGGCACUUUCAAUCAUUAUGGAUUUUUUUGCACUUGCCCCCCAGUGUAGGGUGUGAUCCUAGCCAAGGUUAUUUUUCAAGAAAAAUUUAUUAGGCUCAAAAGGGGACUGCAAAUGAUAUAUUUCAGCCUUGUGAAAGGAUUAUCAAAGAUGGCCUUUCUUCAUCUCAAAUGCAUGCAUUUAGGAUCGGUAAGCCUUGCUUUCAUGCGAGUAUGCAGCGUGAUUUCUCAUUAUUCAUGCAAUCAAAACUCAGCUUUUGGAGUCACUUCAUGGUUUUUUUUUUUGGGUUUUCUAGGUGUAUGGUUACCUCUCUAAGGAAUCACCUGAAUUUCCAGAACUCGUUUGUUUCGAACAAACAUCAACAUGAUUUCUGUUUUUGUACUAAACUUUGAAUUCCCAAAAAUCCUUAUGAAAACAUGGGGUCCUGUUUUGUUUUGGGAAGAAAAGGGAAACGCACCACAAGAUUUUGGGCGCGGUGGUUUCAUGCUUAAAGGUUAUGCUCAAUGUGUUAUUUGCAUGAAACAACAAAAAUGAUGGCAUGUGAUGAACACAGCAAAACACAUGAUAAAGGCUCAGUGGACAGGGAAAGUCUUGUGGAAUUUUGAGCCAAAUUACCAACAAAAACUGGAAUAGGUUGAAACAAAAAAUCAAGUUUUUGGAGGCAUGAUCAAACAGAGGUAGUUAUUUUGGCAGAGCAAGAACAUGCUCCUUUCUGCAACGGUGAUGCAAUUCACCUUCAAAUUGUGUUGAGGCUCUUGAUCAUGUUGGCCCCAAUUUCUUCGGGUUGAGUCUUUGUUGGGGCUGCGAACAAAAAUGACUGGCCGAUUGGAAGGACCUUCACUAGAGGCAUUUCUAAGUGUUUGCUCGAGUAAGCUAGUGAGGCGAGCCACACUUGCUUUCAGAGACUCUAACUCUUCUUGGAAAUGGAUGCUGCGGUGAGCACGCUCUUUGUCUCCAAUGUUUUUUCUCUCAAAAUCAGGUGUUGUAGACUCGGAGGGGACCUACUUUUUAUUCUGGUGCAUGCAUGACAAAUGUAUGAACAUGAAGUCUAUAUGAUGAACUCGCCCUUCGAGGGGUGACAACAUGGUCGUAACUCUUGUAUGAUGGAACAAGAAUUGUGAUUUUUGCCCAAACUCUACAAUGAAAAUUUUCCGAGUGACGACCAAUGUGUCACCCAAAAUCUUGAGUUCAAGAUGCUUCAAGAAGGGUUCGCCCGAUGCAAAUAAAUGAUAGCACAUACAACCUAAGGACAGGUUCUAUUCAUUGUGUGAACAUGGGUAGGUUUUCUACCUGGUCUCAAAAGGGUCUAUGAACUGCCCAGUGACACCUCACGUGAAGGCAGUAUAGGGGUUUACAAGGAAUGGUUGGGGCACCAUGUGACCGCCAUUACCGAGUAAACACUCAGCUCAUAGUUGGAUGUUUCACAAAUCUGAACCCCGACUGAAAGUCAUGAGGUAGACUGCUACUCCCCACCUAACUUAGAAGCUUGUGUGUGCUUUCAAAAAUAAAUACAAGUGAUGCAUGAAACAAUUCUAAAAUGCAUGCAUAAAAUAAAACAAGACAAAAAUGGCAAAAUUUAAACACAUCAAGUACACAAAGCUUAGUCCAAUAUUGUCAGAAACAAGUACCUCCCCAGUGGAGUCGCCAUUCUGUCGCACGUCGAAAAAUCCGCGCGCGGCAUCGGCUGGCGAUUUAUGUCUCGUUGUUGUAUUGCUUGAAUUGGUUCGUUAGGAGUCGCCACCUAGUAUUUAAUUGAGGUUACUAGGAAACCCUGGUGGACUGGUCAUGGUCAGAGAUUCGCGGGUAAGGGACUGAUUGUGGUUAGGGAAGGUGUUAGCACCCCUAACGCACCCUACCUGAGGUAAGCUGCUCGUGGACUUGAUGUGUUAAAGAAGUUUUAAAAAUUUUGUCUUUUCAUCGGAUUUUAAAAUACAACUUCCGUACAAGUUUGUAUUUCUACACCGUGAUCCAAUCAAAAUAUUAAAUCCUUCUUUAUUCUUUGCUGUCUCAUCAAAAAAAAAUUCAUUAAACAAAUGUAACAUGCAUUUUUUAUUAUAUAUUUCUUUCUUUUUCUUUUUCUUUUUCUUUUAUUCAAUAACAUACAUUAAAAAAUACAAAACACACCAUCUCUUUUUUUAUUAUUUUUUCUCUUUUUUUACAUUCACUUUACACAAAUAAAUUCAAAACAAAUAAAUACAAAUUACAUUAAUAAAUUUAAAUUUUACAAAACAGUCCCUAAAAGUCCAGAAAUUGCAUUGAAGGACACUGCCGGAACUGCUGAACAGUGGGGCGCGUCUUCCACGUGCCACGCCACUGGCGGCGCGUGGGUGCACGUGCCGCCAGAAAACUGAGAAACAGAGGCGCCUGGAGGGCUUCUUCUCCUCUUCAAUUUUUCAGCCGGCGGUAAGGGGCCGAUCACCUGCAAACACAAGAAAACGCAAACAAGCAGUUGAUUUUAGUUUUUUGUUUCGGAUCUGCUCAUUACAGAUCUGUUCUUUUCGUUUCCCCAGGCGACGGUCGGCUCUGAGGGGAGAAGAAGAUGGCGGGGUCGCCGCUGCGUUUGGUGGAGGAGCUGGAGACGGCGCCGAAGGAGAUGACGAAGACUGCUGGAGGCAGUGAGCUGGGUGUGGCUGGAAAUGGCUGGGACUAUGGAGGCAACAACCAACCUCUGUUUCUGGGAGAACCGAGAGAGGGAGGCUGUGGAUUGGAGACGGCGCUGCUGGCUUACUGGCGGUGAAAACCGGCUGAAAGGAGAGUGAGGCAGAUGAAGGAGAGCGUGUCCGAUGCUCUCUGGUUCCUGGCCUCAAGAGAGAAGGAAGGGGAUGAGCAGCGGCUGGUUUCUGUGGGUGAGAGGGUUUGGUGCUUAGAAAAAUUGGAACCGGGGAGUGGUUCUGCGUUGUUAGCUGAAAAUGAGAGGAAAUGGGGGGAAGAUUAGUUGUGGUUUUUUAAGGACAACGAAGGCUGGUCUGCUCGUGUUUGGCUGCAAUCGAGAGGGCUGAGGGAGAGAUUGAGGUUGAUUUGUGAGGUGAGAAUGAAGGGAAAAUUGGCUGAAGAGAGGUGCCUCUGUUUUUCAAAGAGAGGGGGUCAGUUCCUGGCUCGCGUGGGAGAUGCCGAAAUGAUCAUGGGAGCAAAAAUCUCUAGAGCUCCUGUUCGGGCCAGGGAGCUCUGGUUCUCUCUUUUCAAAAGAGACUCUACAAAGGCAGCUCAACAGGGAAUAGAGGCUUGAUCGGCGGCUCCAGAAAAAGAAAAUCAAAAUGGAGGAGCCUCCUUGUUUUUUGUCGAGGAGAAAGGUGGCGGCUCAGGGAGCCAAAAAUAAAAACCAGUGGGGGGCUGUGCGCAGAGAAGGAAAAAAUUUCCCGAAAGGGAGGGGGUCUCCCUGGCGGCCGCUGUCAGUAGAGACUAAGAGUUUUUUUUUUAGGGUUCUUUCUUUCCUCCUUAAAUUACAAAAUGAACCCCCCUCCAUAAAAUGAGUUAAAAACUGCUAUUUAUAGGCAAAACAUUUUUUCGGGUUUCCAAAUCGGUCCCCCGAUUUUUUUGUGUUCAAUUGACUUGGUAAAAAUUAAAUUUGAUCUUAAAAUUUUAAUCUUUUCAAAUCAGUCCAAAUUAAGCUCCCAAACUUAAUUUUUCACCAAUUAAGCCCCCAAAUUAAUUUGACCCAUUUAAAGUAUAAUGAAGUCCUUCCACUUAAUUAAAUCCUUCAAUUGGACCUAAAUUUAUUCUCAAACAUAAUUAAAAUUUAAUUUGACCCAUGAUUAAAUCAAAUUGGCCCAUUAAAAAUUUAAUUAUGUCAUUGGACUUAAUUUUUAUGCAAAUUCAUCCAAUAAUCAUUUGAUUUGACCUUCGAAUAUGCAUUUAAUUUGACCUUCGAUUUUUGCCUAUUUUUGCAGUCUUUUUUUAUUGGCUUUCUCCGCAGUGCCAGCCUUUAUUUUAUUUUUUAUUUUUUUUAUUUUAAAAAAAGUGAAAUUUAGGGAAUAACCCAAAAUUGGGUUAUGACACUCAACAUGUACUUUAAUAUUUGAUACUAACAUGUUUUGUAUUUAUUAUCUUAUUCAAUCGUAAUACUUUACUUAUUAAAUGGUCAAUCUAGAUUUAUGUUGUAUAACCCUUGGUACAACAAAUGCUUGACUAUUUCAUAGCCUACUGUAUGGUUUAACCGAUACUUGUGCUAUGAAAGGGACUUGAUUUGUUGUUAAUAUAAAUUAACAUCAUGAAUACCUGACAACAUUUACAAGUAUUAGCAUUAUUCGAAUAAGAUAACUAAUGUAAUCAUGUUAACAAUUUAUAAUCUGAUUGGAACCUCCCUUGUGUGUGGUUUCCAAUUCAGUAAUAAAAAGAGUUUAUACUAUACUUAUUUGAAUUAUCAUUAGUGGAUCUGUAACCUUGAAAAUUAUUUUAUCUUUAUUUAAUCCUUACAUCAAUAUCUCAUCUUAAAAGUUCUCUUCAACUCCCUUUUCAUUUAUUGUUUAUAAUUUUAUAUAGUUCACCUCCACGUGGUUUGACCCCAGUUUUGCCGGGUUAUUUAUUACUUCGACACUCCUACACUUGGGAUAAGACAUCAAUCUUAUGGUCGUGUCAAGUUUUUGGCAUUUUUGUCGAGGAGGUAAGUUAUUGUAUAAAUUAUAUAUUUUCUUUUGUUUUCACUUUUAUUUGUUUUUCUAAUUUUUUUUUUCAUUUUUGUUUCUUUUCUUUUCUUUUCUUUCGCACUUGCAUGAGAGUUUGGUUACGCACAUUAAGUGGUAGAAUUUCUAGGAAAUACUCAUUAUUUUUAGAAAACAUGUCUAAAGAGGAUAAUCGAUCGCUUCACAAUGAGAAUAAUUGUGUUAGAACACUUAGAGACUACAUGAAUCCAACAAGAAUAAAUGCACGAUCAUGUAUAAUUUUCUCUCCUUAUACAUCUCAUUUUAAUUUUAAGCUAGGCAUUAUUCAAGUUUUACCUACUUUUCAUGGCUUAGAUCUAGAAAAUUCAUACUUGCAUUUAAGGAAAUUUGACGAGGUCUGUAACACCAAUAAUGACUUAAAUUAUAGUAUGAACACCAUCAGAUUAAAGCUGUUCCCUUUUUUAUUAAAAGAUAAAGCUAAAACAUGGCUAUCAAAUCUGAGGUUAAGAUCCAUUCGUGCUUGGGGUGAAAUGCAUUAAUAAUUUUUAAAGAAGUUUUCCCCUGCUUAUAGAACAAACUCUUUCAAAAGACAAAUCACCACAUUCACUCAAAAACCAAGAGAAACAUUUUACGAAUGUUGGGAUAGGUAUAAAGAUUUGCUUAAUACAUGUCCUCAUCAUGGUUUUGAAACAUGGAGAUUGGUUUCAUAUUUUUAUGAAGGAUUAACACCUAAAGAUAGGCAAAUAGUGGAAUUGAUGUGCAAUGGAACUUUUGAAGAUAAAGACCAUGAUGAAGCAAUGGAGUAUCUAGACUCGUUAGCUGAAAAUACUCAAAAUUAGGACACUACAGGUAUUUAUGAGGCACUAGGUAAAACGCAACCUCAUACAUCUAGUGGAGGUAUGUAUAACCUUAGGGAAGAUUAUGACCUCCAAGCGAAAUUUGCAUCUUUAGCUAGAAAAGUCGAGGCACUAGAAUUAAAAAAGAGUGGUUAAUUAAAAUCUGUUCAAGAAAUUGUGUGUCAAAUCUGUGAAACUAAUGAACAUUUAACCAAUGAUUGCCUAAAUUGGCCUUUUUUCAAAAAAUGUCUCCAUCAACAAGCCAGUGCUUUAAAUAGUUUCCAAUGGCCAAAUCAUGAUCCAUAAUCACAAACAUACAACCUUGGUUGGAGAGAUCAUUUAAAUUUCAGUUUAAAGAGUAGUAACAACAAUGCAUAAACUUCACAGCCACCAUUUUAAGCACACUAUAAUUUUCAAAAUUCUCAUGGAUAUGCACCUCCUUAUGCUUCAACACCUAGAAGAAAUCUUGAGGAAACAUUGCAUGCAUUCAUUGAAAAGCAAGAGACAAUCAACACUCAACUUGCUCAAAGCAUGAUAGAUUUUAAAGAUACUCUUGCAAAAUUCACAUCUGCUCUUAGCAAAAUCCCAAAGGGCAAUACAAUUCAAGAGCAAGUAGCUCUUAAAGCCAACAUAUAGAUCAAGUUCAAUCAGUCAUUACUCUCCACAAUGGUAAGGAUAUUGAAAAACCCAUUCUUGAACCUUGUGAAAAAGAUGAUGAGUCAAUCUCUAAGGUUAAGGAAGUGGUUAAACUUGAACAUUGCAAGGAAAAGACAAAUUCCCCACCAAUACUUCUAUUUACUCAUGCCAUGACCAAACAAAGGGAAGUUAAUCACGAUUCUGAAAUCUUUGAAACUUUCAAACAUAAAGGAAUCGAGUAUGAAAAAGGCAUAACAAAUUUUGUCAUGGAUCAUUUGUCAAAAUUGACAAUAGAUUUGACAUCUGACAUCACAUUAAUUGAGGAAUACUUUCCCUAUCAAUCUUCACUCUCUAUUGCUUCGACACCUUGGUCUGCUAAUAUUGAUAAUUUUCUUGCUUCAGGAUUUGUGUGGUUUCCAGUUGAGUAACAAAAAAGAGUUUAUAUUAUACUUAUUUGAAAUACCAUUAGUGGUUUUUCUAAAAUUGAUAAUCGUUUUAUCUUUGUUUAAUCCUUACAUCAAUAUCUCAUCUUAAAAGUUCUUUUCAACUCAUUUUCAUUUAUUGUUUAUAAUUUUAUAUAGCUUAUGGUUCAACCCCGGUCUUUUCAGGUUAUUUAUUACUUCAACACUCCUACACUUGGGAUAAGACAUCAAUCUUUUGAUCGUGUCACUACUUAGAAAAAAUGAUGGUUUCAUUGUGAUGGGUGACCUACCUAAAGAAAAAAAAUAAUGGAAGAUGGUCUCAUUGUGAUGGGUGACACGACCAAAAGAUUGUUGUCUUCUCCCAAGUGCAGGAGUGUUGAAGUAAAAAAUAACCCGGCAAAACCGAGGUCAAACCACAGAGAGGUUAAUUGUAUAAAUUAUAGACAAUAAUAAUACUAUAACAACAACAACAACAACAACAACAAUAAUAAAGAAGAAGUUGGUGAGAACUUUGAGAUGAAAGAUUAAUGUAAGGAUUAAACAAUGAUAAAAACAAAUGUCAAGGUUAGAGGAUCCACUAAUGGUAUUUCAAACAAGUAUAGUAUAAACUCUUUGUAUUCAACUGGAAACCACACACAAAGGAGGUUCCAAUCAGAUGAUUUGUCAUUAAUAGCUUAUUAUAAAUUGUUAACAUGAUCAUAUUAAUUAUCUUAUUUAAGUAACAUCAAACUUUUAAAUAUUGUCAAAAAUUCAUGAUGCUAACUUAUGUUAACAAUAAAUCAAGUUUCUUUCAUAGCAUGGUAUAGGUUAUACCAUACGGUUGGGCUAUGAGAGUGCCAAGCAUUUCUUGUACUAAGUGUUAUACAACACAAAUCUAGAUUAACCAUUUAACAAGCAAGGUAUUAAGAAUUAGUAAGAUAAAAAGAUAAGACAUGUUAAUAUUAAACAUUAAGGUCCAUGUUGAGUUUACACUAUACUUAUUCUUACACCAUUAGUGUAACCUUUUCACCUUAACAUAAUAAACUUGCUAAAUAUAAUGAAGAAGAGAAACAUAAAUAAACAAAAUAAGAACAUAAAUAAGAUACAAGUUAACUAAGUAAAGGAAAGGAAAUGAAAAGCAUCAACAAGAUAUUAAUGAAAGCAAAACUUAAGAAUUACAAAAAAUAUAAAGAAAGAAAUAAAAGAGCAUGAUCUUGAUCUGAACAACAAAGAUGCCUAAAUGCAUGGCAAAUGCCUCCUUUUAUAGGCCAAAAUUUGGAACUAUUAAUUUGAUGACUAAUUGUUGAAUGGGUGGCUAACUCUUGACUUGCUGAAAAUCCUUAUCUUCUUGUCUAAAUAAAACAUCAUUGCUAGCAUCAGAAAUGGAACCACUUAUACCAUGAAAGUUAUAGGAAAUUAUCUUAUCUUUCUAGGGGAAAAAAAUUGAGGUCAUUUGGACUUCUAGAACUCGAUAUGUGGGUUGAAUACUAAACAAUGUCUGGGCUGUAGGACAGAUUCAGACUUCUCCGUUGUUUCUAUAAUUUGGACUUGAAAACUGCCUUUUUAAAUCUUGGACUCCACAUGAAAGUUGUAGGCCUAUAUCAUACCGAAGUUUUCCAAAACAUUGAGGUCAUUUGAACAUCUAGAACUCAAGAUAUGACCAAAUUACCGAACAAUGUUCCAGUUUGGACUGCACCAACAUCUCUUUUUUAAGUUUGGCCCUCUCUUUGUCCUUUCAAUUUCAGUAUUUAAACUCAUCAAUCAAUUGCUUCAUUUAUGUGAUAGGCCUGCAUUUAAGAUGAAUAUUUACCAUAAAUUAAAGGUGUCUUACAUUAUUAGAUAUGUUAUUAUAAAACAUGAUUUAGUUAAGGAGUUAUUGAUACUUGAAGUGCAAAAUGAUGAUAUAAAACCUUGAUAAAAAUGCACUUUUAAGUACUAAUCAAUGGGUGACCUACCCAGAUAAUAGAAAGUGACUUACCUGGCAAAAAGACUUGGCUGGAGAAGUCCUAAUAGCAUAAGGCUGACAAACUUGGCGCUUCCUGAUUGCAAGGUUGACUUGAAGACUUCUCCCUCUUAAUGAUAGGGUUGAUCUCCUCAUUUCUUUAAGAUUUUCCUAGUGGCAGGGUUCAUCUUAUUCUCUUCUUAUUUCAUGAUCAAAAUCGAUUCUUUUUUUUUUCUUUUCUUUUUUCAAUUUUGUUGGACUUCAUUGAGGAUUUUCCUGUAACAAAUCACAAAUAUGUGCAAUGCUUUGAGGUUAAUGAUAUGCAUGCAUUCUUAUCUUAUUUGAAAUGUAGGUUCCCCCCUCUUCGAUGCUCCAUCAUUAUAGGAUGCCUUUGUUUGCAUUCCAAAGCCUUGUUUGUUCUUUUGAUGUAUUAGCUCAUUCAUGCGCUAGCCAUCACUUAACUGUAAUUGCAGUGCCUAUCUUAGGCGGUCUUCGACGGUUACUACUCUCGUUGUUUAUCAAGCUUGACUCUAUCCCCAAGUGUGGUGUUGCUUGAUUCAUCACUAAUAAGCUUAAUAAAUCAUUCAUCUCCUUGAUCCUGAUUGGUUAUGUGAUUAGUACUUAAAAGUGCAUGUUUAUCAAGGUUUUAUAUCAUCAUUUUACACUUGAAGUAUCAAUAACUCCUUAACUAAAACAUGUUUUAUAAUAACAAGUUUGAUACUAUAAGAUACCUUAAUUUAUGGUAAAUUCUCAUCUUAAAUUCAGGUCUAUCAUAUAAAUGAAAAGAUUGAUUGAUGAGUUUAAGUAUUGAAAGUGAAAGGACAAAGAGAUGGCCAAACUUAGAAAAGAGAUGUUGGUGCAGUCCAAACCGGAACAUUGCUCGGUAAUUGGAUCAUAUCUGGAGCUCUAGAUCUCGGAUUUAGGUUCAUUUUAUAUGGAUGAAAAGGUAAGACAAAGUUCUACAACUUUAAAAAGGCCAUUUUGAAGUCCAAAUUGAAGGAACAACGAAGAAGUCUGAAGCUGUCCUGCAGCCCAGACACUAUUUAGUGUUCAGCCCAUAUCUUGAGUUCUAGAAGUCCAAAUGACCUCAUCGUUUUUUUGUUGGAAAGCUAAGACAAUUUCCUAGAACAUUCCUGAGUAUUCUAGGCAAAUUAUGAUGUUAGCAAUGACGUUUUGUUCAGACAAGAAGAUAAGGAUUGUCACCAAGUCAAGAUGUGGCCACCCACUCAUCAAUUAGUCAACAAAUCAAUAGUUCCAAAUUUUGGCCUAUAAAAGGAGGCACUUACCAUGUAUUGAGGCAUAUUGGUUUCCAGAUCAAGAUCAUGCUCUUGCUUUCUCUCUUUGUAUUGCUUAUGUUUUGCUUCAAUAAUAUCAAGUUUAUGCACUUCAUUUCCUUUCCUUUACUUAGUUAACUUUUUUUUCAUUUAUGUUCUUAUCUUGUUCAUUUAUGUUUCUUUCUUUCAUUAUGUUUAGCUAAGUUAAUUAUGUCAAGGUGAAAAGGGUACACUAAUGGUGUAAGAAUAAGUAUAAUAUAAACUUAACAUGGACCUUAACGUUGGAUACUAACAUGUUUUAUAUUUGUUAUCUUGUUCACUUUUUAAUACUUUGCUUGUUAAAUGGUUAAUCUAGAUUUAUGUUGUAUAACACUUGGUACAACAAAUACUUGGCACUUUCAUAGCCCAUAUUGUAUGGUAUAACCGACACCUGAGCUAUGAAAGGAACUUGAUUUGUUGUUAACAUAAGUUAUAAUCAUGAAUGUCUGCCAACAUUUACAAGUAUUAGCUUUAUUCGAAUAAAAUAACUAAUGUAAUCAUGUUAACAAUUUAUAAUCUGAUUGGAACCUCCUUUAUGUGUGGUUUCCAAUUGAGUAAUAAGAGUUUAUAUUAUACUUGUUUGAAGUACCAUUAGUGGAUCCUCUAACCUUGACAUUUGUUUUUAUCAUUAUUUAAUCCUUACGUUAAUCUUUCAUCUUAAAGUUCUCAUUAAUUUCUUCAUCUUCUGCUAUUAUUAUUAUUAUUAUUAUUAUUAUUAUUAUUUACAUUCUGUUUAUAUUAUAUAAUAUAUAUCUUUGAUCUUUUCAUAAACUCAGUAUAUAGGCUGGAAACCUGUGACCCGAUCUUUUAGAUCAUUCUCAGGUAUAACAACGCCACGUACUGAGUAUUAUUAUUGUUAUUAUUAUUAUUAUUGUUAUUGUUGUUGUCUUGUUAUUUAUACAAUUAACCUCUCUAUGGUUCGACCCUGGUCUUGUCGGGUUAUUUAUUACUUCGACACUCCUGCACUUGGGAGAAGACAUCAAGCUUUUGGUCGUGUCAUUAUGUGUAUCUUGUCAACCCAUCAAAAUUGUUAAUUAGUCAUGAACUUGCCUCCAGUUGAAACAUACCCUUCAAGUAUGUACGAUCAUCCACCUUUAUGGAACUUCCAAGUCAUCCGGACAUGGAUCUCACGCUUUGUAGUAAAAGGCUCAUCAUUGUAAGCUCAAUGUUCUUCUCUAUGGAUUCCUCUCAACUUGUCAAAUCAGAUCGUGAAAAGAAAUGCAUUGGCAUCAUCAAUGAUGUUCAUUUUAUCACCCAUAUUCAUGUAGUGAAGUGCGCAUUUGAGCUUCAAAAUUGAUGGUCCCACAAUCAGUCUUGGUGGGUGUGAUGCAUCCUUCAAACAUUCAUUCAAAUGCAACCACGCGAUAACAUCAUUCAAAAGUCAUAGCCAUGUUGGAUAUGAUAAACCAUCAUUCAAAAGUCACAAUAUUUUGUGAAAAUACCCUUUGAAAGAAGCAUCUUUUGAUUUCAGAACAACAAAAAGACAAAGAAGAGACAUGUUUUGUUAAAAGUUGAGAAGUGGUCUCAAAACAAAAUGCAGAAUGACAAAAUCCAUAACAAAAAUGAUUUGACAUUUCAACACCCUUCUUUGAUCAACUUUUUUGGCAAUAUCUAUGUUUUUCCAAGCUUUUUUUAUCACUUGUCAUUAUAAGGAUGUUUUGGUGACAAUAUGGAUGAUGACAUCAUCUUUCACAAACUCAACUUGCUUUUUGAACACCAACCUCUGACUUGAUUCUUAAAAUUCUUGCAAUUGUUAAAUUAAAAUGGUUGAGGACCCCACCAUGAUAUUCACAUCACUUGUUUGGAUUAUACCACCUAGGGAACAAUGGUUGCAUGGAUUUUGACAGAGUUUGGGCAAUAAGUCUUGAGCCUAAUAGAUGCUGGUAGACAUACUCAAAUGGUAGAAGUAUGACAAUAUUUAACAAAGACAUUUGAGCAAUUGAUGUUAUAGCAAAACCUGGUUGGACCACAAAACUGAGGUUUCCCACCUUCAAAGUCAUCUUAUAAUUCAUCUAUCAUUAUUGUUUUGAAAUCCUUAGCAGAACCUUCAAUCUUUCCCAUCUUCAUAGCUUGUUCAAUUCUUUCAGCAAUCCUCAUAACAUCAUUUCAAUCUUCUAAUGUUGUGGUUGUUGUAUUAGGAUUGUUGGAAACCUUCCAACAACUUGGUAAUCUUGGUAGCGCCCAGAAACUUGUAGCAUCAUCACCACCGAUGUGUGGAAUCAUGCAUUAUCUUUAUUGGAAGAGAACCUGAUGAAUCUAAAACUCCUAUAUCUCAUCUUCGAUUCCUUACCGACAGUGCAACAAAGAGACACCUGUAGAGGGAGUUAUGCUUUGUUAAAGUUUAAUGUUACUCCUGUUUUUCCUAUCAAGUUUGUCUCUUCUCUCUACUACUGUGUUUCGAUAAUGCAAGUGCUGGGAAAUGUUUUUAUAGCAUAUGAAACUACUACAUCUCCUCUUGUAUUCCCCACUUGCAGAACCAUAAAUAGAUUUUUAUAGAGAGAGCUCUGCCACAUUGAAGUUUGACGACUGCUCAUGUUUUCAAACAUGAUCUAACUCUUCUGCCUGUUACAGUGUUUUGGUGGUGCCACUGGUGGGAGAGAGUUUCAUAGCAUAUGAAACUACUAUAUCCCCUCUUACAUUCCCUACUGGCAGAUCCAAAAACAAAUCUCUAUAAAGAGAGCUUUGCCACAUGGAAGUUUAGUGUCUAAUCAUGUUUUUUUUUAGACCAACAUCUUGUACGACUGAACUGGAAUUGAUCUCAUAGUGGGGGUAACUUCAAAGAAGACUAAUGCACCAUGCACAAAAGGCUAACAAAUAUUGGGUGCCAUUGGAAGAUAUGGAGGUAAUGAACAAUUAACAGUGCGGCUGAACCAGAAAGGAGAUCAUCUUUAAUUGAUGAUUAAAGGUGUUGUUGCUGCUAUUCAGGACUGAAAUGAAGGAAAAGACAGAGCAUCAAUGUUGUGGCCAGUACUGGUGGAAUGCUGACAAGAAAAGCAAAUCAUUUUUUCUUGUUUAUGUUAUAGGCUAAUGAUGUUCCCAUAGAAGGUUGUACAUGCAUUCCCUUUCUUUUUUUUCUUAAAGCUCAGCGUUUGUUCAAGCAAAUGUGAGUCUAGCUACUUCACCUUUGAUGCUCUAAUUUUCCCUUGACAAUGAGCCUUUAUCUGACCUCUUUCUUCAUUUCCAUCAUCUUUUUUCAAUCAGGUGUAGCAAAGCUUAUGUGGGGGAACCUACUAUUCAACCUAGUGCAUGCAUGAUAAAUGUAUGGCAUAUAAUCUAAAUAAUGAACUUUCCCUACGAAUGGUGACAUAUGGUCGUAACUCUUGUAUGAUGAAACCAUAAUUUUUAUUCUUGCUCAAACUCUACAAUUGAAAUUUCUUGAGUGAUGACCAUUAUAUCCCCCAUAAGUCCUGAAUUCAAGAUGCUUCAAGAAAGACUUGCUUAGAUGCAAAAUAAUUUAUACAGAGCAUACAUCCUAAAGAGAGGUUCUAAUCUUUUUACGCGAGACAUAGGGUAGAUUUACUACUUAGUCUCUAAAAAGGGAUCUCUCGUUGUCCCGAUGAUCACCCUCUUGAAGGCAAUAUGGGGGCUUAGUAGGCACUGAGAUGGAAUGUAUACCAACCAUUACCAAUCUAAGCACUCAACAAAGAGAUGGGAUUUACACAAAUUUAAACAUUGACUAAAGUCGUAAGGUAAGCUGCUAGUCCCCCACCUAACUUGAAGCUGUUGGGUGCUUUUAAAAAUUAAAAUAUAUGAUGCAUGAAUAAAAUAUAAAUAAAAUAAAAUAAAGACAAAAAAUUUAAGCACAUCAAAAACACAAAGCUUAGUCCAAUAACGUUGAAAACAAUACCUUCCCCAGUGGAAUCAACACUCUGUUGCAUGUACCACGCGUGACAUCGAUGGCUAUUUUUGUUCAUUUGCUUGAUUGAUUCUUUGGGAGUUGCCACCUAGUAUUUAAUUGAAGGUUACUAGUAAACCCAAGUGUACUGGUCGUUGUCAGAGAUUCGAGGGUAAGAAACUGGUUGUAGCUAGGGAAGGUAUUAGCACCCCUAGCGCACCCUACCUGAAAUAAGUUGCUUCGUGUUUUGAUGUGAUUUAAAAAAAUUAAAAUAUUAGUCAAAUUCUUAAGGCUUUAAUAAAUAAGUUAUUAAAUCCCAAAAUAUAUGUAGAAAUGUGUUCUUACACUUUUACAGGAAAAUACAACAUAUUUUUAUUUGUACUUAAGAUACUUGACCAUAUGCAAAUUAAAGCAAUAAAUUUUACUCUUUUUUAUUUUAUAAUUCAAUAACAUACAUAAAAAAAAGUUCAAACACACACAUCAUUUUUUAUUAUGUUUUUCUCAUACACCAUUUUUUACAUGUUAAAAAAAAUAAAAAAAAUUCAAAAAAAUUAAAAAAUUACAAAAUAAACCCCAAAACUCUACAAGAAUUGCAGGGAAGGCCUUCUGCAAUUGCAAGGACAGUGGAUGGAAGGUUUUUGGACAUUUGAACAGUGGCAGUGUGUCUUCUCCAAGUGCCCCACCACUGGCGGGGCGUGGGUUCACGCAUUGCCGUAAGAAAGUCCAAGUAAAUAGAGAGAUCAGGAACGUUUUCUCCCCCUCUUCCUUUCUACACCGGUGGUAAGGAUCACCGUCACUACAACAAGAGAAAAAUGCACAAACAACAUUUGAUUUUAGUUCUUCUUUUCCCCGUUUCGGAUCUGUUUUUGGGUCUGUUUUCAAUUAUGGUUUGUUGUUCUUCCCUUCUUCCAGUGGUCGAUUUGGUGGUUGUAAAGGGGCAACAACGGUGGCUGGUGGAGAUGGAGACCUGGUUUGGUCGGCGGGAAGUGGUUGUUUCUGGUCUUGAAUAAUCGGUUGGGCUUGGCUAGUGUUGCUACCUAAUUUUUGACCCAUGUUUUUAUAAAUUUUCAAAAAAAAAAAAAAGAGAGAACAUGUGGCGAUAACAUAGAGCAUCAGGGUUAAUAUUAAGGAAGCAAUAUAUCAAGGAGAUAAUUACUGAAUCAUAUAUAAUUACUACAAUAUAAAAUACCAUAGAUAUAGGAUUUCAUUCAUGCUAGUUAUUGAAAAUAAUUACUACAAUAUAAAAUACCACAUAUAUAGGAUUUGUUGAUGCUGGUUAUAGAAGACAAUCUUUGCAAUAAUUAUUGCAAUAUUUUCUUGAAUAGCACAUGUAUAGAUUUUCUAUAUAAGUUGUCGCACCCCAAAAAAAAUAACAAAAAACUUUUUUUUGCAACAUUCGACUGGCGACUUUCGUUUUGUUCUGUUUUGCUGAUUUGGUUCUUUGGAGUCGCCACCUAGUAUUUUGGUCACUAGGAACCCUAACUGGUCUUUCAGAGAUUCUAAGGCAAGGGACUGAUUGCGUAAAGGGAAGGUAUUAGCACCCCUAGUACGCCCUACCUAAGGUAAGCUGCUUGGUGUUUGGUUUGCUUUAUAAUUGCUAUGGUAUUGGUAUUUUCUAGGCUCGUCAAUUGAUUUUGGAUAGAAAUCUAAGGAGAUUCCAUGUGCUUUGAAAGCUCAUUUUUCCCUUAGUAUUUCAAAAAUUUACGACUCAUAAAUCGUGGAAUAAUAUAAAAAAAAAUUUUAAUUUUGAAAUGUCCUCGAUUAUAAUCAAGGCUUCUUUCAAGAAUGUGUGCGGAUUUAUUACUCCCAAUAAUAUUUUGGAUAUUCAUCCUUUUAAGGAUUUCUUUAUCCAAACAUUAGCGGUAAAUAAUAAAUAAAUUCCCUCUCCAAAAAUAAGAUUUUUAUAGUUUUUGGAAUAUUGGCCAAUACCCUUUGGAGUUUUACAAACACGUUGUAAAAUCCAGAAAUGCAAGAAAAUAAUUUGUGUUUAAGAAAUCUAUGCGAAAACACACUUUCGAAGCUUCCAAUAUAUUUUUUUUAUAAAAAAGAAUAUUCAAAACAUGUUAGAGUAUUGGCCGUAUGCAACACGCAAGAAUAUAUAUAUAUAUAUAUAUAUAUUUUUAAACAAUAUUUUUUUUUACGAAAUCGGGUAUUUUUAAUACUGAAUUUGUAUCUCCAUAGCAUAAAAAUACAAACUAAUAUUAAGUCAUUUUAAAAAGAUGUACGAACAAAAAUCAACAAUAUUUUUAAAGAAUUUUUAGAAAUUUUUGAAAGCAAAAAAAAAAUUUAUCUUUGAAAAUUUCGGGUGUCUCGACGAAAAUCAGAUAUUUUAAAUACUGAAUUUAUACCUCCACAGUAUAUACCCCCUUAAAAAAUAUAUAUAUAUGAAAGGAAAAUAACAACAUUUUUUUUUUAGAUUUUUUCGGAUUUUUUAUAAAUAUUAUAUAUAUAUAUAUAUAACAUACACACACAUAUAUAUAAUAUAAUAUAAUUAUAUAUUAAUUAUUAAGGGGCUGGGCCGGCCCAACUAACUGGGCCGGGCUCAGCCCCACAAGUCAUUGAGCAGGGAUCGGCCCAAGACAAGUGACUGGGCCGAUCUCGGCCCAAGAAGUGACUGGGCCGAUCUCGGCCCAAGGAAGGUGACUGGGCCGAUUUCGGCCCAAGAGAAAAAGACUGGGCCGAUAUCGACCUAAGAAAAAAAACUGGGCCGAUCUCGGCCCAAGAAAAAAAACUUGGUCUGGGCUGGACCUGGCCCAGACCGCCGGGUUGGGCCAGAAUCCUUCUGGCCCAUAUUCAUGUUUAUGGGCCAGAACCCGUCUGGCACAGAAAAGGAAACAUAAUGGGGGGAAUUAAUUUCCCCCCCGUCCCCUGCAUGCAGAACAACUCUGCAUGCAGGGGACGAAACCUACAGAAGAAGAGAAAAAAAAAAUGCAGGGGAGAGAGCGUACCUGGCGGGGCUGGAGACGGUGGUUUGCUGGAGAGGCUGCGGUGGCGUGGCUCGUGGACGGCGGCUCCGGGCGGCGUUGCUACUGUUUCUAACAGUGGCGAAAAAUUCUUCUUCCUCCCCUCUCCUUCGUUUUUUUUUUUAGUGGCUGUUUGUUCUCGGUUUGGUUUUGGUUUUUUGGUUUCAGUUUCCUUCUUCUCGGUUUGUUUCUAUUCUUCUCUCUCUUUCGGGCCUUACUUCUCUUCUCUCUCUCUCUUCGGUUCGUUCUCUCUCUCCUUCGGUUUGUCCUCUAUUUAUAAGGAAAAAAGGGAUCGGCGUGCCUUUUGUUAGUGCGCCUUCAAUCACGCAACGGCUGGUCGGCCAUUGACGCUUUCGGUGGUGGUGGUGGGGGCGAGGAGAGAGAGGCGGGAAGGUUUUCAAAUUUUUUGUCUUCUGUUGCUGCUAAACCGGGGGGAAGGAAGAAGAUGAACAGUGUCGUUCAAAACGACACCGUUCUGGUCUUCCUCUUUUUUUUUUUAUAUAUAUAUAUAUAUAUAUGAAACGGCGUCGUUUUGGAUAAAACGCGCCGUUUCAUUUAAAUGGCCAAACUUCAAAUCAGUCCUUCAAAUUCAGUCUCCGCCCCUCUUAUUGGCCGCCUUUUUCACUUUGGUCCUUGGCCUCUGAUUUAUGCAAUUGAGCCCUCAAUUGAUUAAUAAACUUCCAAUUUCUUCAAUUAGGCCCCUGAACCGAAUAAUUACAGCCCCUCCAAUUACGCGCCUCUUCCAAUUUGGUCCCUGGUUUCGGAUUUUCUUAAUUAAGUCCCUAAUUGGCCAUUAAACUUCAAUAUUUAUGCAAUUAAGCCCCUGAUUUGACCCAAUAAAUUCCUAAAAAAUAUAUUUUGGCCCCAGAACUUAAAUUUCUUCUAAUUAAAGCCCAAAUUGACUUAAAAAUUAAUUUUUCUUGCAAUCAAAUCUCCUAUAAAUUCAAAUAAAAAUCCAAUUAAAUCCAUAAAAAUCCAAUUAAGUCCAUAAACAUCCAAAUUUGGGCUUUUCUCCUCAAAAUUCAAAUUUUCCUUCUCAAUAGGGCUUUCAUCCUUCAUGAAUAUACUGUCAAAAAUUCAAUCCUUGUAUUUUUAAAUUCCUUGACCAAUUUUCUGACUGUUUUCCGAGCGCUUCUGCCUCCUGUUAUUUUUCUAACCUCUUUUGGCUAUUUAUUUUAUUUUUCAUGGGGACCCAAAAAUGGGUUACAACAUAAGUGAACCUAAAACCAUAUGCAAAGGGAGAGAAGCAAUUUUAAGACAAGAAAAAUUAAGGACAACUAUUUAUACUAGUGUGUAGUCAGGUGUUAGGGGAUUGUUUUCGUGCAAGUUUCAUUUAAUUUGGGGAAGAAACAAGGCAUCAAAUGUCUUGGGAAGGAGGCCCUUCGGGCAGCCUCUAUGAAGAAGAAGAUGAACAAUAAUUUUUCUACCAAUUACAGUUUAGUCCGUUAAUUUGUCUUUUAUCUCUAAUUACACCCCUAAUUGGCCUCAAACUUUCAAUUUUGUUUAAUUUCACCCCUAACGAACUUCAAUUUGAACCCCAUAUUUCCACACCUUUUUUUAGUUUGGUCCUUGGUUUUGGAUUUAUUCAAUUAAUCCCUAAUUGACCAUCAAACUUUAAUAUUUAUGCAAUUAAGCACCUAAUUUGACCAAAUUAACUCUCAAACAUUAUAAUUUGACCCUCAAACUUUAAUUUCUUCCAAUUAAAGCCUAAAUUGACUUAAAAAUCAAUUUUUCUUGUAAUCAAACCCUCUAGAAAUUCAAUUAAACCUUCAAUAAAAUCCAAUUGAGCCCAUAAACAUCUAAUUUUGGAUUUUUCUCCUCAAAUUAAAUUUUCUUUUCCAACAGGGCUCUCAUCAUUCAAGUAUAUACUGUCAAAAUUUCAAUCUUUGUAUUUUGUAACCUACUUAAUCUACUAUUCUGACCAUUUUUUGUGCGCUCUAGCCUCCUACUGCUAUUAUUAUUUUUCUAAUUUCUUCCGACUAUAUAUUUAUAUUUUUUUUUCUUUUUUAUGUGAGGACCAAAAAAUAGGUUACAACAUAUAUGAAGAAACAAACCUAGAAAAAACAUGAAAAACCAGAAAGAACGAACACAAGAGUAAGACAAGGACGAGCAGGAAGAAAGAACAUAAACAGAUGAAAAAACAUAGAGACCAACAAGAACACCCUCGCCUUCGUCAUUGCCUUCAUCUCUUCGCUCUCGUCUCCAGUUUCUUCUCCUCUAACAGUGCUACUUUUUCUUCCAUAGGCACGACGAGCUCUUAAAAGCAAUAACAACACCUCCUCCUUCUACACUAGUAGCGUCCUCACCAGUAGACCAAUGGUGCAACUUCUUCUUCACCAACACAUCAAUCUCUUUACUGGCACUUCUCAACAACCCAGUCGUCUCGCAUUGGCUACAACCAUGGAGACAUUUUCAGCCUUGACAGCCAUCACUAACUCGCAGCCCCUCAACCAUCAGGAGCAGGUAUGAGCCAAACCAGCAACCCAAAGGAAAAUAGAGAAAGAGUAAGAAAACACAGAGGGAAGAACAUCUAUUCCAGCAGUACAACACACCUUCAUCAUCAUCUUUGCCAUCUCUAGAGAGAGCAUCGGUAAGAAGAGAAAGACAGAGACCAACACUAGUUUUACCAGCGUUCAUCAUUGUCUCAAGAAUUAGUGAUAACUGUUCAUGCACGAGAAACUACAACAUCAUCAUCUUCGCCCAUCAGUUAUUAGGUAAGUGCCCUGCACUCUUUCCACAUUUGCAAAUUUAAUUAUAAUUCACUUGAACAAUAACUAAGUAUCCAUUUGCUUGCCUAGUCGGGUCACUAGUCUAGGCAAGUGACUUGGCUAGGCUGGCUGGGUCCACCCUGGCCCAUGUACCUAGGCUGGACCUAGCUUAAAAAAACGAGUAAUAUUGUUGGUUUUGUUGUAUAUUUAGUUUAUGGUUUGUAUUUUAUAUAUUGUGGAAAUACAAAUCUAGUUUUAAAAUACCUGGUUUUCCAUAAAAUGAUGCAAAUAUAUAUAUUUUUGACAAAAUCACCGACGGAUUCAAAACGGGCGACCCGUACGGGUGAUUGGACCGGUUCAUCGUCAAAAAUACCAAUGGAAUCACCGACGGAUUUAAAAAGGCAGACCUGUACGGCUGACGUGAUCGGUUCACCGUCAAAAAUACCGACGGAAUCACCAAGGGAUUUGAAAAUCUGGUCCGUACGGUGAUGUGUCUGUUUUCCCGUCAGAAUAGCCGACGAAUGUAAUCCGUCGGAAAAAGUUAAUGUAUGACCCCUCUGCCGACACUCUCCUCCCCUGUUUCUCAUUCUUCUUCCUAAUCCUAACUCUCCCCAUCUGCAAAUAACCAGCCCCCCCUCGUAUCCAAACAAAAUUCUUCCUCAUCUCAGCAUAACAAGUUGUAAUUCUUGAAGUUUUAUGGUCACAACAUCCGUGUUCUGAUUUACCGACGGAUUUUAUCAAUUUUUGUAAGUAAUUCUAUCUGUUUAAAUUUUAAGAUUUAAAUGUCAAUUUUAUUGUUUUUUUAGUAUAUGUAUUUUGUUAGUAGAUGUACAUGUUUUAUUGUUAUUUCUCAAACAAACUUGUAGUAUAUGAAUGUAUAAUUUUAUAUCUGUUAUGGUUUGUUUUAGAUUUUGUAAGAUUGUAUUUGUUUGUAAAUUGUUAAAACUUUAUGGAAUUACCGAAUUACAUGUUCUGUUUUGAAAUAAUUAAUAGCUUGCUUAAUGGGUCCUUUUUAAGUUUUAUCGAUGGUAUUGCAGAGUGGUAAUUUCUGUUAAUUUAUAUAUAUUAAUUUGUAUGGACGUUGAUAAAUGAUAAUGAAUAUUUAAUAUUUAUGAGAAGUUGUGAUUGGUUUGUUGGAUAAUCUCGAGGUAAAGUAAUAUUUUUGCAAGUUUAUUUACCUAACUUAGUUAAUUAAUACAUGAUGUCAUCAUAAUUUUAUAGAGGUUCGAUAGAAGUCAUGGAUGAUCGUUCAUGGAUGUAUCUAGAUUCACCCAAGGAUUGCGGAGGAUGGAUUAUUGUAACGGGGUUCAGGGUUUUAUUAAUUUCGCAACAUCUAUUCCCAGAAAUUUUACUGGAGGCGGUAUUAGGUGUCCAUGCAGGAAGUGUCAAAAUAAAAAGUAUCUGCAUCCAGAUGUUGUAAUGAUGCAUCUUCUACACAAAGGGUUUGGAGGAUUACCAGUGUUGGUAUGCACAUGGAGAGGUAUUUGUUAGUAAUAGGAGAAUGAGAAAACGGUGGUUGGGUCAACUUCUAGUGCUAGCAACGUGCAUGAAGCGGCAAAUGACAACACUAAUCCUUACAGAAAUAUGGUUAUGGAUGCAAUGAGAAUGAAUCAAGGUAAUGUCAGUCAAUGUCCAAUCGUAGAAGAAGAACCUAAUGCAGAGGCAGCUAGGUUUUUUGAUUUGUUGAAAGAUUCUGACGAACCAUUAUGGGAUGGCUGCACAAACCACAGUAAAUUAUCGGCCGUGGCACAGGUGUUCACCAUCAAGUCAGAUCACGGGUUGAGUGAGGCCGGGUAUGACAAAAUUAUUGAUUGGGCAAGAAGCAUUUUACCUGAAGGGAACAGGCUGAAAGAGAACUUCUAUGCUGCGAAGUCCAUGAUGAAACCCCUCGGUUUAGGAUACCAGAAAAUUGACAUGUGCCCUAACUUCUGCAUGUUAUACUACCUUGAAAAUGCUGAAAUGACCGAGUGCAUGACAUGCGGCAUUCCCGUUACAAACCCAGAAUUGGCAGGGGAAAGACUCUAGUGGCAUAUAAAAAACUUAGAUAUUUCCUAAUCACACCUAGACUGCAGAGGUUAUUCAUGUCACCAAGGACUGCUGAGCACAUGACAUGGCACCAAACACAUGAUGCGGUUGAUGGUGUGAUGGUGCAUCCUUCUGACGGCGAAGCGUGGAAACGCUUUAAUAGUGUGCAUCCUGACUUUUCAGCUGAAUCAAGGAAUGUCCGUCUUGGGUUGUGUACAGACGGAUUCAACCCAUUUGGGUCAUUUGCUGCUCCCUAUUCUUGUUGGCCGGUCAUACUCACAGUUUAUAACUUGCCACCGGGAAUGUGUAUGAGGCCGGAGUUCAUGUUUUUAUCUACUAUCAUACCCAGUCCAACAGCCCCGGGCGGAAUAUAGAUGUUUGUCUUCGAACGUUGAUUGAUGAGCUGGCGCAGUUGUGGUCCUUUGGAGCUCUGACUUAUGAUAUAUUGAGGAAACAAAAUUUCCUUAUGAGGGCGACUUUGAUGUGGACUAUCAAUGAUUUUCCAACUUAUGGAAUGCUUUCUGGUUGGAGCACACAUGGGAAACUCUCAUGUCCAUACUGCAUGGAAAACAACAAGGAAUUCAUACUAGCAAACGGAGGUAAAGCUUCUAUUUUUUACUGUCACCGUCGCUUCUUACCACUUAAUCACAAGUUCAGAAAGAAUAGAAAAGAUUUCUUUGUUGGCAGAGUUGAAAAAGAUGUUGCAUCCCCGCGUCUUUCUGGUGAAAAAUUGCAUCAUGUUGUAUCAGAGUACGGUGACAUUGUGUUUGGCCUUCAAUCAGGUAAGCAAAAGUUUAUUGGGUAAAGCAAAGUAUCUUUUGGGAGCUUCCUUAUUGGAAGGCCAAUCUUCUCCACCAUAACCUUCAUAUUAUGCACAUCGAAAAGAACGUGUUUGAGAAUAUUUUCAACACCGUCAUGGAUGUGAAGGGGAAGACAAAGGACAACAUCAAGGCUAGAAUGGAUAUAACUUUAUACUGUAACCGUAAAAAUAUGGAGUUGGUUUAUGAGGAGUCACGAGUCGCAAAACCAAGGGCAAGCUUCGUGUUAGAGGAAAACGCAUAACUGCUAGUCUAUAAAUGGCUUAAGAGUCUGCGUUUUCCGGAUGGACAUGCAUCGAACAUAUCAAGGCUUGUUAAUAUAGAGGACUGCAGAUUGUAUGGAAUGAAGAGUCAUGACUGCCACGUGUUUAUGCAAACACUCAUCCCAUUAGCUUUUCGUGAUUUGUUGCCAAAGGGAAUAUGGGAUGCACUGACGGAGAUCAGUCAUUUCUUCAGAGAUAUAUGCUCCAAAGUUGAAUGUUGAGCACAUUGAGAGGCUUCAAACGAAUAUCAUCGAGACACUAUGCAAACUUGAGAUGAUAUUCCCUCCUUCAUUUUUUGACUCAAUGGAGCAUCUCCCUAUACAUCUACCGUUCGAGGCAAAAGCUGGAGGACCGGUCCAGUAUAGAUGGAUGUACCCAUUCGAACGGUGAGAUAUUACAGUUGCAAUGGAAUUCAUAUCUAAAAGUAUUUUUAUAUGUUUUUCUUAAUUGGAAAUACUUGAAUUGUAAUUCAAUGCAGGUACUUGUUUAAUCUCAAAAAAAGGUUAAGAACAAGGCGCAUGUAGGCUUCGAUAUCUGAGGCCUAUAUUGUUGAAGAGAUCUCAACAUUUAUCUCGUACUAUUUCGAACCUCAUCUGAGAACAAGAAUCAAUCGUGUUCCACGACAUGAUGAUGGCGGUGAAGUGCCUUCCAGUGGGAACUUGUCAAUAUUCUCCAAUACUGGACGACCAACACCGAAAAAUGUUGUAAGAGGAAGAUAUUUGUCAGAAAUAGAAUUCAAACAAGCACACAACUAUGUUCUAUUUAACUGUGAUGAGCUGAGACCAUUUAUUCAGUAAGUUUAUAUAUGUGUAAUACAAAUUCAACUUUGUCAGUAAUAUACUGCUAAUUAUAUAUUGUGAAAUCAUACACUCAUUAUCACUUGCAAGCAACAUCGACAAUAUUUGCUCUCCAACAACUCGCAGCUGACCAACUCCCAGAUCUUUCAAUUACAAGAUGAACAAUUUGCCACAUGGUUCAGAACACAUGUAAGCACUAUUGUCGCAUGUGUGCGGCGUCGCGGCGAAAAUUAUAUGUUUUCCAUUUUAUAUCUACAAUGUAAUUCUAUAUCUAUUUAUAUCUGUUUGGCAAAUAUAGAGAGACAAGAAAUUCUUGUCUUCUGUUGGUGGAAAAUGGAAUGGGAGUUGCCACCUAGUAUUUUGGUCACUAGGAACCCUAACUGGUCUUAGAGAUCGGGCACAGGGACUGGUUGCGUAAAGGGAAGGUAUUAGCACCCCAAAUACGCCCUACCUAAGGUAAGCUGCAUUGUUUUAUUGUCUGAUAAAAUCUAAGGUCUUUUCAUGUUUUCCUAGUUGUUGGUAUGGCUCAAGGAAAGUCCUCCUCGGUAAGGAGAUUCUUAUCUUAAUGGGUAAUUCUGACAUUAACAAAAGAAUUUAAUAUUCGGAAUAUGUCUUACGUAUAAGAUCAUAACCCCAAAUACUAAAAGAAAACACAAUAAUUUUUUUGGAAUUUUUAAAAUAUUGACCUAGUUCUCAUGGCUUGAAUAAACUGGUUAUUAAAGCCAAAAUGCAUGCUAAUACAUAUAUUGUUUUGAAAUUUCCUUUAUUGUGUGAAAAUACGAUGUUAUAAUAUAUAUAUAUAUAUAUAUAUAUAUAUAUAUAUAUAUAUAUUGGAGAGACUAGGCCGUAUGCAUGAAAACAAAAUAUUUUUUAUUUAUAUGUAUUUUGUUGAUGACUUGACAAAAACCGGGUAUUCUAAUACCAGAUUUGUAUCUUUACAGUAUAAAAAUAUAAACCGAUAUUGACCAAAAUGCAGCAACAAACUUGUGGAAAAUCACAUAUUUUUUAAAAUAAUUAUUUGAAGUAAAUUUAUUCGGAAUAUGUCUUACGUAUAAGAUCAUAACCCCAAAUACUAAAAGAAAACACAAUAAUUUUUUUGGAAUUUUUGAAAUAUUGGCCUAGUUCUCAUGGCUUGAAUAAACUGGUUAUUAAAGCCAAAAUGCAUGCUAAUACAUAUAUUGUUUUGAAAUUUCCUUUGUUGUGUGAAAAUACGAUGUUAUAAUAUAUAUAUAUAUAUAUAUAUUGGAGAGACUAUGCCGUAUGCAUGAAAACAAAACAUUUUUUAUUUAUAUGUAUUUUUUUGAUGACUUGACAAAAACCGGGUAUUUUAAUACCAGAUUUGUAUCUUUAUAGUAUAAAAAUAUAAACCGAUAUUGACCAAAAUGCAGCAACAAACUUGUGGCAAAUCACAUAUUUUUUAAAAUAAUUAUUUGAAGUAAAUUUUUUCGAACGAGCCAGACUCGGCCCAAAAGGAAAUUGGGUCAAAAUCAGCCCAAAAUAAAUUUGGGCCUCGUUUCUACAGGGCUGGACUCAGCCCAUCUGCAUGGAUUGGGCUGAUGUUCCAGCCCGAAAUGAACAUGGACUGGUUACUGUGCAUCUGCACAGUAACCAGUUAACAGUAACUAAUUAAUUAAUUAGAUGGUUACUGUGCACCUGCAUAGUAACCUGUUAAUUAAUUAGACUUGCAUAGUAACCGGAGAAUUAAUUAGGUGGUUAUUGUGCACCUUCACAGUAACCAGCUAAUUAAUUUCUUACUUGCAAAGCGUGCACAGUGCACGUUCUGCAUGCAAGAAGAUGAAUACGGGAUAAGGGGAAGAGUUACAUGCGACGAUGAGCUUGGGUAAAGGAGCUGGCAGUGGUGUUGGUGGCCAGUUUGGCGGUGGCAGUGUAGGGAAACUCAAUGAUAGGAGUUGUUGUCUCUUCCCCUCUGCAGAGGCGUUGCUUCUUCUCUUGGUUUCCUUUGUUCCCUCUGUCAGUGCUAUUCUUCCCUCUGUACAGCAGCUUCAUGGAGGUGCAGGUGGUAGCUGACUGUGAUACUGGCCUGGAUGGUGGUCGGCCCUUCUUCCUCUUCUUCUCUACGUUUUUCUCUUCAACUAUGUUCUCCUCUGUUUUCGUUUCCUCCUGCUUUUCACGGGGCUGUUGUCGACUAAGAUGGCAGUGGCAGCUGGUGGCGGUGGAGAGGAAGUGCUCUGUUCCUGGUGGUGUUGGUGUCGCGGCUGCUGGCUGUGACGGUGGUCGGUGGAUGAGGGAGUCCGAUGAGAGCAGCUGUUCUUUCCUCUCUGCAGCGGUUCAGGGGAGGUGGGAAGGUGAAGGUAACAAAUCAAUGGUGUUGGCAGUGUUGGUGUGUUUGUCUUUCCCUCUUGUUCGGUUUCAGAGCUCCCCCGUUUUCUCCCCUUCUUUUCCUAUCUCGUUUCCUCUCUUCUUACCCUCUCACAGUAGCUCUCUUUGUUUCAAAACUUCCCUCCCCUUUCAGUUUCAAACGAGCCCUCUCUCAUCCAAAAAAUCCCCCCCUCUGAUGGUGUUAGGCGCAAUAUUUAUAGAGCAAAGAGGAGUGGCCUACUGUUGCGCAUGGGGAGUAAGGGGACACCGGGUAGGUCUCCAACGGGCGCGGCUUUGCAGGGCACGCCUGCAUUAUUUUCUAGCCAUGUGGUUUUGGGUUUUUGCAGUAGCAUGCGGGGAGAGAGAGAGAGGACACUGUUUUGUUUUUUUUUUUUUUUUUUGUGGGGUGCCCAAAAAUAGGUGACAACAACUAUCACAAACUCAUUCUAACUUGCAAAAUUAUUGUAUGUAUGCAUGUCAUUACGAGAUUCUCGUUCAUUUACCGAUUAUUGAUGUACAUUACAUGUAUAUAAGGUUUAUCAAAUGGGAAGGAGUGCGUCUUAGUCAUUGUCUUCACUAAGCCUCGGGCUUGAAAGAAAAGUUAAAUGCUACAACGGGUAUUUUGUCAAUGGAUAUAUUUUCCAUACUGAAGAAUACGAGAAAGGAAGAAAGACAUACAAUUGCGGUGUUUGUGUUAAAGGAUCCACAAGUAGUGAGUUAGAAGUUGACUACUAUGGUAGAUUAGAAGAGGUCGUGGAACUACAAUAUCAUAACGAGCAGAAUAAAGUAAAACUGCACUAUAAGUUCUUGCGUCCGCCCCUUCAGUUUAUUUUUUUUUCUCCUCCGUUUCCCACCCAAUAUUCUUCAAGGUUUCGAUUUUUUUCAUCUCAAAUCUUCAAGUUUUGUUGAAUCUCUAUCAAGCUUGGUUGUGAAUCUUCAUCACAUUAAAGGGUAUGUGUUUUUUUCUAUUUCAUUUUAUUUUAUUUAUAGUUAUUUUUAUGCAUUUUAUGUUUUUUGUUUUGUUGAAUUUUUUUGUAAUGUAGAUAAAUUUUUUGUUGCAACACAUUAUUAAGGUAUGCAUAUUUCUUCCCUAAAGUCUAUAGUUUUUUUUUAAAAAACAUUUUGAAUAUUUUUUAUUGUUGUAUUGGCAUAAUUGUUAUUAGUUAAUUUAUUGAACAUUUGUUGUUAAUGUUGAAUUUACCUUAGAAUUAGUAAUUGCAUAUGUUGGAAUAAUUAGUAAUUUAACUCUAUUGUUGCAUGAUUUGUGUUUAAUUAUUUUCAUUGUUAGUUUAUAAUUAUUUUUUAAUUUAUUGAAUAUAUUUUAUUUUUUUAUUGGUAUAAUUAUUUAAUAAUUUGUUGAAUUAAUAUUGCUAAUGUUUAAUUUACCUUGUGUUUAAUUGUUUCUAUUUAUUUUGAAUUUAUUGUUUUGUUGUAUUGGCAUAAUUAUUUAAUAAUUUGUUGAAUUAAUAUUGUUAAUGUUUAAUUUACCAUAGAAUUAGUAAUUGAAUACGUUGGAAGAAUUAUUAAUUUUAUUCUAUUAUUGCAUGAUUUGUGUUUAAUUGUUUCUAUUUAUUUUGAAUUUAUUGUUUUGUUGUAUUGGCAUAAUUAUUGAAUAAUUUGUUGAAUUGUAAUUAUUAAUGUUGAAUUUACCUUAGGAUUAGUAAUUGAAUAUGUUGGAAUAAUUACUAUAGAUUGGGUGAAUUGGUUGUGGAUGUUGUUAAUAUUUGCAGGUUUGUGGAUUUGGGUAGUAUCCUAGUAUAGGGGAGGUGCUGCCGAAUUUUUUUUAACAUUUGAAUUUGAUUAUAUAAUUAUUUAUAUAAAAUUGGUUAGAUGCACAUAAUGAAUACCAGAGCUUCACGUCCGGUCGCAUCAAGUUCGUCUAGCAGCGAGGAAGAUAUUUCCUUAGGUGCCUCUCAAGAAGAGGCACCUACACCACAUGCGCUGUCAACUGAUGCUGCCUCUUCAAGCGCUGUUUCACAUCGCAGAAGCGGCGUGCCUUCACAGCGGAAUCAAUUUACCAGCAAGUAUGAGGCACAAUGGAAGGACGAUCUUUCAAUGUAAGUUUGUUAAGGUUUUAGUUUUUUUUUUUUUAAAAAAAACAAAUUUAUGAAGUCGCUAUUUAAUUAAUUUCAAUUCUUUUCUGGUUCACAAACAUUGAGGCCACCCGAGUAAUAUCAUCGGCGUUUAAAGCGUCGAUGGAGUCAGAUAUCCAAGCAUCCUGAAUGAAUGCCUCAAAUCAAUGCAUGGUUUUCUAGAUUUGAGGUUCAUGUUAAUAUAUAAUUUUUAGCUUAUUUCUAAUAAAUUCUUAAUAUAAUUGUAAAUAAAUUAUUAACAUUUUAAAAAAUUAUUUUUUAUACACAGAAUCGAUUCUGCUGGAAUGAGGAACAUAACACUAUUGUGAGGAGGGUAUGGGAAAAUCACGCGGCAACUAGGUAACAUCGAAAACAAUACAACUUUUUUUUUACAAAAACAUUUAUGUUUCGAAAUGUAAUUUUUGCUUGUGUGAAGUAGGUUGCGUGAUUUUUGGUACGAAGCCCAAAAAAAGGCCAAAACAAUUACGAGGGAAAAGGGGUUCCAAGGCUGGAACGAUGUUGUGGUUUGGAGGGAUUUCAAACCGAUAUACAUCCCAGAGGAUUUAUGGCCGCACUAUCUUCAGCACGUGACGUAUGAGAGGUUCACAUGACGCUCACAGUCCGGUACUGGCAACCGGAAUCGGCCAAUUCAUAGCUCGGUCACAACGCACACUAGCGGCUCCAUUCCGUUUGCUGCACAUGCGAAAUAGAUGGUAAGAUUAAUUUGUUGUUAAUAAUUUUUUUUCAUGAUAGGCUACAUCUCUUGGAUGUGAGCCGAGCCCUAUGGAGCUGUUUGUGGAGACGCACGUGCGAAGUCAAAACCACCAAAAGGGGGUGCAACAGUUCGUUGACAGUCGUGCUCAAUAUUUUGUGGUAUGUUUGUUCAACCAUUUUAUUUUGUAAGUUAUUAUUAUGUUUAUUGAAUUGAAUAUGAUGAUUACUUUUUUUAUUUUCAGGAUACCUAUAAUAAUCGGUUGAGGGAGAGAUACGUGGACGAUCCUUUGACCCAUUCAGAAUUCGAUUCAGAUUUGUGGAUGGAGGCUGGAUCGUCAGGUGGACCCGAUAAAAUCGGGUUUACGGGCUCUCCAACACUACGGCCGACAACUUGCGGUCAGCCCAUAGUGCUUCAAUCGUCGGGAGCUCCCAAUCAAUAUCGAGCUCCCAAUCUAAGGAGUUCAUGGCCUUGCAGCAACACACGGCUCUGCUCACCGAAAAGUACGACCACCUAUCAGAGGCAUACACACAACUCGUAAAACAACAAAGAGUGGUGUUCGAACAAUAAAGAGUGGAGUCUGAACAACGAAGAGUGGAGUCUGAACGACAAAGAGCGGAGCCUGAACGACAAAGAGCGGCAUAUGAAGAGCUUCGUCAAAUGGUCAUGAACAUGGCACAAGGUGGAACAUAUGUACCAAAUCCUUUUUGGCCACAUAACAGCUAGGCUCCUCCUCCAGGACCUUUAUAUUAAUUUUUAAUAAAAAUUAUUUACAUUUCAAAUUUCAUUUAAUGUUUUUUUUUACACACAUUUAUUUUGUAAUGAAUAUUAUUUAUCUUUCAUUUUUUGUUUUUGAUGCUUAAUAUAAAUUUUAUUUGUAUAAUUGGUUUUUAUUACCAUUAAUUUAUAUUAUUUUUAUAUUAUGUAUUCAAAAUAAUUUAAAAAACAAUAAAAAAAACAUUAUAGAAGGAUUUACUGACGGACUUAAUCCGUCGGCAUUAGACAGUAGCCGAGACCAUCACCGACAAAUUUCCUGACGGAUAAAUUCAGUCAGUAUAUUUUUGACUCACCAACAGAUAUACCGACGGACGUAUUCCGUCGGUGUUUUAACUUACCGACAAAUUUACGAACGGAUAUAUUCGGUCUGUAUUUCAAAAUUCACCGACCACUUUACCAACAGCCAGUAACCGUCGGUGACUUGUAAUUUUCAAGCGGGAAACCUUUUUUUUUUGCGCGCAAAGUCCGUCUGUAAAACCAUCGGUAAAUGUUUUUUUUGUUGUUCCGACCGAUAUAGCGACGGAAUGUGGAAUCACCGACAAAAGGUUCGCUGACGGACAUAUUCCGUCGGCAAUGUAGUGGGUAAAUAAGUUACCGACGAACUCCUAAUCACACACCGACGGAAUAUUUCUGUCGGUAAAACUAUGAAUUCUUGUGGUGAAUGUGAUCAACAUUCAACUUGCUGGAACAUAUAUCUCUAAAGAAAUGAUUGAUCUUCGUGAGUGCAUCCGAUAUCCCCUUUGGUAACAAAUCACAAAAACCUAUUGGGAUAAGUGUUUGCAUAAACAUGUUGCAGUCAUGACUCUUCAUUCCAUACAAUCUACAUUCCUUUGUAUUAACAAGUCUUGAUAUGUUCAAGGCAUGCCCAUCGGGAAAACGCGGACUCUUAAGCCAUUUGUAGACUAGUAGUUGUAUGUUUUUCUCUAACAUGAAGCUUGCUCUUGGUUUUAUGACCUGUGACUCAUCACAAACCAACUCUAUAUUUUUACAGUUAAAUAACAAAGCUAUAUCCAAUCUAGCCUUAAUGUUGUCCUUUGUCUUCCCUUUCACAUCCAUGAAGGUGUUGAAAAUGCUCUCAAACACGUUCUUUUCAAUGUGCAUGAUGUCAAUCUUAAGAAAUUAUAUGAAUGGUUAAGAACAAGGUGCAUGUUCAAUGCAGGUGUUUUCUUUGUUUUUCUUUGUUUGAAAUUAUAUGAUUAAUUACAGGUACUUGUUCAAUCUUAAAAAAAAGGUUAAGAACAAGGUGCAUGUUGAUGCUUCGAUAUGUGAGGCCUAUAUUGUUAAGGAGAUCUCAACAUUUAUCUCGUACUAUUUUGAACCUCAUUUGAGAACAAGAAUCAAUCGCGUUUCACGAAAUGAUGGUGGUAGUGAAGUGCCUUUUAGUGGGAACUUGUGAAUAUUCUUCAAUCUUGGACGACCCACGCCUAAAAAAGCCAUAAGGGGAAGAUAUUUGUUAGAAAUAGAGUUUAGACAAGCACACAAUUAUGUUCUAUUUAACUGUGAUGAGGUAAGAAUUUUUAUUUAGUAAGUAUAUGUACUAUACUAAUUAAACUUUGUUAAGAAUGUACUAUAUUUAUAUAUUGUAAUAUCACAUAUAAUUUAGAACAACCUUACAAGCAACAUAAAAUUUCACAUGAAUUUAAAAUUCUAAUUCUAUAUAAAUUAUCCAUGACAAAAUCUCUUAAAUUGUUUAAGAAACUAUGAUAGUAUAGUUGUUUAAUUAUAUGUUGUCUACGUCCUUAUUGUUUUUUCAAUUAAUCUCUUUAUUAAUAAAAUUUGAAAUUAUAUUAUAUUUCUUUUUAAAAAAUCAACAGAAAUUUUAAAUUUUAAAUUGAAUAUACAUGGAGAUUAUAAAAUGUUUUACAUUAAAAUAUAUACGUCUUGAAGUCGUGAUUCUCUUUUCUGAAGAACAUGAAGCGUUUCAAGACUCGAUGCGUGCAGAUUCAGUCUUGUACACCGACAUGUAUUUCCAAGGACUAUAGAUGUGCUGAAGCAUUAAUUUCCAAGAACUCGGCUUGCGAAGAAAUCUGGCGAGUAAUUACGAGGAAAUUAUUGAAGGGUUUUUUCUUAGCUGGCAAAUGAACUUCUUCAACCAUGUAUUUUGUCUUACAUGCAUGGCAAGCAGCCCCACGCGGAAAAAUCCUCGUCUUUACUUUGUGUGGCCUUUUCACACAUGUUAAAUACAAUUGAGUGUGCAUCCUAUUGGCCUUCCCACUUGCACUGUGCUUUUGGAUUCGAGUAUCGGACCACGUCAUCGUGACAAAUAUGUUAUGCAAUAAAAAUGUUUCCACAUUAUCGAGCCACGAAAAUCCCUGUGCGCUUUCCAUCAGGAUAUCAACGAUCAGCGGCAAUGAAAUUAAUUCCAUCUUCCUAUAUAUAUAACCCAAUAUUCAAGGAAUAAUUUUCAGAUAAAUUUAGAAAGAGAAAAAAACCAUUGACAGCCUAAGAAUCGAGAAAGUUGGACCUCCAAUAGGUUCAUGAAUAAAUCUCAUAGCCGCCAUUGGACCUUUGACAUGUAUGUGAUUCCAUGGCAGGCAUUACAAGUUUUACUUCUUGUUGUCUCAUAUGUAGAAGUAGCAAUCGUAGAUUGGCCCCUCAGACAUAGGAUCUUGGCUCUUUUAUUCUUAGAAAUAACUUGGAUGGUUUCCUUCCAUGUAUGUAUAUGGAAGAGAUGAAAGGAGUUAAAAUGGAGAAAUUUUUCUAUCUUGUUUGGAAAUGAGAAUAAAAGAGAAGGAAAGGAAAAUAUUAGGGUUAACAACAAAAUACCUUCUCUGAUGGGAUCAAUCAGUUAUCCCUUAAAUGUGAUCUAAUCAACUAUAUACUUCUAUCCACUCUUCCUCCAAAUUAGUUGACAUAAUUUUUUAAAUUCCAGAACUUCAUCAAAAACCAACGGAAUUAUCGAUGAAAUAAUUAUGUCUAUAAAUUAGUUGACAUAAUUUUUUAAAUUCCAGAACUUCAUCAAAAACCAACGGAAUUACAAAUGGAAUAAUUCUAUCAGUAAAUUGCAGUCAUAAUUAUUUAGUUUGUCGGAUAAUAUCGAGGCAAACCAAUACUUUUACAAAUUUAUUUACUUAACAUAGUUAAUUAAUACAUGCUUUCAUCAUAAUUUUAUAGAAGUUUGAUAAAAGUCAUGGAUGAUCGUUCAUGGAUGGACUGUUGAGCACAUGACAUGGUACCAAUCACAUAAUGCGGUUAAUAGAGUGAUGGUACAUCCUUCUGAGGGUGAAGCAUGAAAACACUUUAACAGUGUGUAUCCUCACUUUUCAGCUAAAACAGAUGGAUUCAACUCAUUUAGGUCAUUUGCUGCUCCUUAUUCUUGUUGGCCAGUCAUACUCAUGGUUUAUAACAUGACACCAGGGAUGUGUAUGAGGUUGGAGUUCAUGUUUUUAUCUACAAUCAUACCAGGUCCGAGCAAUCCGAGCCAGAAUAUAGAUGUUUGUCUUCGAUUGUUGAUUGAUGAGUUGACGUAGUUGUGGUCCUCCAGAGCUUUGACUUAUGAUAUAUCUAGGAAACAAAAUUUUGUUAUAAGGGAGGCUUUAAUGUGGACUAUCAAUGAUUAUCCAACUUAUGGAAUAGUUUUUGGUUGGAGCAUGCAUGGAAAACUAGCAUGUCCAUACUGCAUGGAAAACAAUAAGGUAUUCACGCUAAAAAACAAAGUUAAAUGUUCAUUUUUUGACUGCCGCCAUCAUUUCUUGCCAAAAAAUCACGGGUCCAGAAAGAACCAAAAGGAUUUCUUUAUUGGUAGAGUUAAAAAACAUGUUGCACCCCCGCAUCUUAGAAAUGAAGAAUUGUAUGAUGUAGUAUUAAAGUAUAAUGACAUUGUGUUUGGUUUCCAAUCAGGUAAGCCGAAGUUUUCUGGUUUUGGUUUGACCUAUAAUUAGGUAAAGCGAAGUAUUUUUUGAGAGCUUCCUUAUUGAAAGACUAAUCUCCUCUGCCAUAACCUUGAAAUCAUGCACAUAGAAAAGAACAUGUUUGAGAAUAUUUUCAACACCGUCAUGGAUGUGAAGGGAAGACAAAGGACAACAUCAAGACUAGAUUGGAUAUAAUAUUGUUUUGUAACUAUAAAAAUAUGGAGUGUUUUUUGAUGGAUCACGGGUCACAAAACCCAAAGUAAGCAUUGUAUUAGAGAAAAAUGCACAACUACUAGUCUAUAAAUGGCUUAAAAGUUUGUGUUUUCUCAAUGGACAUGCCUCGAACAUAUCAAGGUUGGCUAAUAUAGAGGAAUGCAGAUUGUAUGGAAUGAAGAGCCAUUCAAGAGGUUAGAUAUUACAAUUACAAUGUAAUUCAUAAUUAAAAGUAUUUUCAUUAUUUUUUUUAAUUGAAAAUAUUUGUUUCAUUUCAUGCAGGUACUUAUUCAAUCUUAAGAAAAAGGUUACAAACAAGGCGCAUGUUGAGACUUUGAUAUGUGAGGCCUAUAUUGUGAAGGAGAUCUCAACAUUUAUCUCGUACUAUUUCAAACAUCAUAUGAGAAUAAGAAUCAACCGCGUUCCACGACAUGAUAAUAGUGGGGAAGUGUCUUCUAGUGGGAACUUGUCAAUAUUCUCCAAUCCUUGAUGACCCACACCUAAAAAUGCCAUAAUGGGAAGAUAUUUGUCUGAAAUAGAGUUCAGACAAGCACACAAUUAUGUUCUAUUUAUCUGUGAUGAGUUGAGACCUUUUAUUCAUUACAUAUAUGUGCUACUUAAACUUUGUUAAGAAUGUACUAUUUAUAUAUUGUAAUAUCAUAAACUCAUAUAAUUUGGAACAACCUUGUAAGCAACAUUGACAAUAUUUACUGUCCAAUAACUCACAAUUAACCGAAUCUCAAAUCUUUUAAUUACAAGAUGAACAAUUUACCACGUAGUUCAGAACACAUGUAAGUACUAUCAUAAACUCAUUAUCUCUUACAAAGUUAGUGUACAUCAAUAUUACAUAAUUCUUGUUUAUUGAUUAUUGUUGUACUUGAUAUACAAGGUUUAUCAAAUGGGAGGGAGUGCUACUAUUACAUUGUCUUUACUAAGCCUAGGCCCUGAAAGAAAAGUGAAGUGCUAUAAUGGGUAUUUUAUCAAUGGAUACGUGUUUCAUACUGAAGAAUACAGGCAUGGAAGAAAGACAUUAAACAACAGUGUUUGUGUUAAUGGAUCGACUUGUAGUGAGUUUGAAGUUGACUAUUAUUGUAAAUUAGAAGAGGUUAUCGAAUUGCAAUAUCAUAACAAGAAGAAUAGAGUAUUUUUAUUCAAAUGCUAUUGGUAUGACACCACUAUCAGAGGAAUCAUAGUAGAUCCUUACUAUGGUCUGGUUGAAAUUAACUCAAAAGCUAGACUCGCAACAUAAAUGAUGUCUUUGUUUUCUCAAAGUAAUACCAAUAAGUUUUCCCUUAGAAAUGACUGAUCAAUAGUUGAUUGGUUAUCCGUUUUACAAAUGAAACCCAAGGGUCAUGUCGAGGUUGUUUAGGAUGAGAAUGAAGACACAAGUGUGCGAGAUGAAGUCUUUCAAGUUAGUGAGUUGGUUGAAUCAUAUCGAGUUGCUCCUUCAAUUGACUUAAACGAAAAUUUGAAUUUUCAUCUUUUUGAUGAUAGUCUUAUGAUGUUGACGUAGAGGAGUUGGAUAUUGUUUUGAGUUAUGGUGGAUAAGCAAAUAUCAAUGAAGAUGAUGAUGAUGAUAAUGAUGAUAUCCACAUUGAACAGUACGAUAAAGUUGAUGAUGAUACGAAGAAGAAAAAAAUUCUAACUAACUAUCAAAACACAAAAGUGUAAAGCAUUUUUUUAUAAUGUAAAAUUAUGGAUGAUAUUUUGUAAAAAAAAAUAUUUAUUUUAUAAUUGUUCACAUUGUUAUUAUGUUAUGCGGAAAGUUUGCAAUUUAAGCGUUUACAGGAGGAUAAAUAGGCAAUACAAAAUAAUUUUGUCAUGCACAAUGCAUAAUCACCAACGCCCAAGCAGACGGAUAUCGUCCGUCAAUAUUAUCCUGAGAGUUGCAAAAUAUUUACUGCAUUUGCCACAAUCAUCAAAGUCCAUACAAAUGGAUACCAUCCCUCGUUAUUUUACCGAGAGUUGCAAAAUAUUUACUGCAUUUGACACAUUCACUAAUGUCCAUACAGACGGAUACCGUCCAUCGGUAUGUUACAAAGGAAUGAUUGUUCGAGUUCUCUAUCAAUGUAGUUGACCAAUACCGACGAAUGCACCAGUAAACCGUGUGAAUUCCAACGCACGGGUAUUAAUGCAUUUUCUGAAUGUGUGUAUAUACAAACAGACUAUGAAAAUUCUGUAGGGUCAUUUAAAAAUUUUGGUGCGAAAUUCAAAAUUUACCGACGAACAUUUGAAAAUUCACCAACAGAAUAAUUAAAAAUAAUAUUAUUUAAAAUAAUAUAAUUAAAAAUAAUAUCAUUUUAAAUAAUAUAAUUAAAAAUAAUAUUAUUUAAAAUAAUAUAAUUAAAAAUAAUAUUAUUUAAUAUUACGGUGAUGUCAUAGGUAAAAUUGCUUUAUAAAUCCCAGCGACCGCCCAUUCAAUUCAUUUUUCCUUUCCUUCGUUUCCAAAUUCUCUUUCUCGUUUUUUUCUCGCUCAUUUGCUUCAAAGCUUUUGUUUUUUACAUGUAAUCUCUAGUUCUAUCUUCAACAAAUUAAAAGGCAUAUAUUUUCAUUUAAUAUGCUUAAUGAUUUUAAUUUUUUCUUUCUUUUAGUUAUUGUUAUUUUUGUUGUGUUUUUUUGUUUUGGUGCAUUCUUAUAAUGUAGAUAAAAUCUUAAAAUAAACAUACUAUUAAGGUAAGCAUUUUUCAUUCCUAAAGUCUAUAGUUUUUUGAUUUAUUUGUUCAAUCUAUUUUAUUGUUUAUAUUGCCAUAGUAAUUGAAAAUUUUGUUGAAUUUAAUUGUUACUGUUGAAUUUACCAUAUAAAUGGUAAUUGAAAAUAUAGAAUUAAAUUUAAUUAUUUUAUCUCAAUUUUACUCUAUUAUUGCUUGAUAUGUGUUUGAUUAUUUCCAUUAAAUUUAGUUGCUAUUGAUGAAUUUCUAUAGAUGUUAGUUGAAUAUAUAAAAAUAAAUGUUAUUUUUUUGCUUUACUUUAUUGUUAAAUUUUUAUAGAUGUUAGGUUAUAUAUAUGAUUUUUCAAGCAGGUUUGAAAACUUUAGGUAGUCUCCAGUAUGGGGGAGGUGCUGCUGAUUUUUUUAUAAAUAAUCAAAUUUAAUUAUGUAAUUAUUCGUAUAAUUUUAUGUAGAUGCGUAGAAUGAAAUCAACAAAACGUCGUGAGCAGAUGGUUGCAACUUGUUCUUCUAGCAGUGAGUAUGACUUAUACUUAGGUGCUAAUCAAGCAAAGGCACCUGAGCCGACUUGCGAUGUUGCCUCUUCAAACGCGAUUUCAUAGCGCAAAGGUGAUGUGCCUUCACAGCAGGCUCAAUUCACCCGCAAGUACCAGGCACAUUGGAAGGACGACAUUUCAAUGUAAGUUUGUUUCAAUGUUAGUUUUCUUUUUUUAACUUAUAACAUAAUUUAUGAACAACUAAUUAAUAUUUUAUUUAUUUUCAGGUUCACAAACAUUGAGGCCACCCGAGUAAUAACAUCAACAUUUAAAUUGUCGAUGAAAAUUCAUUUAUUUCAAUGGAGUCAGGUUUCUAGAUAUCUUGAUUGGAGACCUUAUAUCGAUGCAUGGUUUGGAAUAUUUGAGGCAGGUGUUAAUAUCUAAUUUCUAGCUUAUUUUUAAUAAAUUAUUUUUUAUAAUUUUAUAUCUCAUACUAUUUUUAUUUUAAAUAAAUUAUUUAUACACAACACAAAUUCGAAUAGGAUAACGCGCAUAACAAUGUCGUGAGGAGGGUGUGGGAGAAUCACGUGGCAACUAGAUAGCAUAAAAAAACAACACAAUAUUUUGUUUUAUAAUUUUAUGUUUUAAAAUCUAAUUUGUCACCAUGGAAGUAGGUUGCGUGAUUUUUGGUAUGAAACAAAAAAAAAUACACGAGAGAUAAGGUCUCCAAGGCUAGAAUGACAUGACGGUUUGGAGGGAUUUCAAAUCUCCAUACAUCCCAGGGGAUAUAUGACUAAAUUAUAUUGAGCACGUGACGUCUGAGCGGUUCACUCGACUCUCACAGUCCAGUGCCAACAACCAAAAUCGAAACUGAUAAAUUCAUGGUUCGGUGACCACGCACACCAACGCAUCAUUUCAAUCAGUGCACAAGCGAAGCGGGUGGUAAGAUUAAUUUAAAUGAAAUACAUCAUUAAUUAAUUUUUAUUUAUUUAUAAAUAUAUUUAACUUGCAACAUUUGUUUCUUACAGACUACGUCAUUUGGACGAGAGUCAAGCCAAAUGGAGCUGUUAGUAUAGACGCGUGUGCGGAGUCAAAACCGUCAAAAGGGGGUGCAACGGUUCAUUGACAACUGUGCUUAACACUUCAUGGUAUGUUCGUUCAACAACUUUAUUUUGUAAGUUAUUGUUUUUCUUUAAUUGAAUAUGAUGAUUUCUUUUUUUAAUUUUCAGAGGACAUAUAAUUUGUUACUCUAGUGGAUAUAGGGAGCUGGUUGAGGGAGAGAUAUAGGGAAGAUCUUGCGACCCAUCCAAAUUUCAAUCCGGAUUUGUGGAUGGAGGUAGGAUACUCUAGUGGAUCCGAUCAAAAUCAGGUGUAGGGGCUCUCCAAACAUAUGGCUGAGAACUUGCGGCAGGCCCAUAGUGUCUUAACCAUUGGGAGCUCCCAAUUAGUAUCUAGCGACUAUCGGCAGAUUUUAAACAACUCUGUCAAAUGGUCAUGGACAUGAGAUCACAUAUGUGUAAUACAUAUGCACCCUUUUUUUGGCCGUAUGUUUCCGAGAAUGACCAGCCUCCUCCUCCUCCAGCUUCACCAUUGUUCUAGUUUAUUUUUUUUUGGAGACAUUAAAUUUGUAAUGAAUAUUUGGAUGAAUAUUAUUAAUAUAUUCUUUUAUAUUUUUAAUGUUUAAUACAAUUUUAUUUGAUUAAUUGAAUUUUUUUUUACUAUUAAUCUAAAUAAUUUUAUAUUAUUUAUUCUAAAAAAUAUAUUUUUAAAUUAACACCGACGGAUUGUCAAACGGACAUAGGCCAUCGGUAUUUCAUAGAGAGUUGAAAAAUAUUUACUGCAUAUGCCACUAUCACUGACAUCCAUACCGAUGGUCAUUGUCCGUUAGUAUUUCAUAGAGAGUUGGAAAAUAUUCAUUGCUUACGCCACCAUCACCAACAAUAUAAUUUUAUCGGUGAUGUAUCGCUAGAAAUAUAUAUAUGGAAUUAUUCCAUCCAUAUAUUUCUAGCGAGAAUUUGUUUUUUUUUGCGCGCUUUGUCCGUCUGUAUAAUUGUCGGUGUUUAUUUUUUCUUACCAACAAAACUAGCCACAGAAAGCAGAAUUACUGACGAUCUAUAUACCGACGGACGUGUUCCAUUAGGGAAGUUGACGGUAAAUUGUUAGGAAAAUUUAGUUGGUAAAACUGUUAAAUGUUGUAGUGAUUUCUAGCAAAACAAUCCAUUUGUGGAUUUUUUGGGACCCUCUGAUGAUUAAUUUGUUACUUUUAUGAAGAGUUGUAGUAAAUGUAAAUUCAAUUCUAAGAACAAUAUUUGUUCUUAGUACGUGAUAAAUUUUGAUAAUUAAUUAUAGGAGAGUAAAAGAUCAUAAACCCUUUUCUUGAGUUGUUUAGAGUGUAUUUAUAACAUUUUUCCUUUCCUCUUUGAGAGGUUGUAAGUCUUUUUCUUCUUCAUCCAAGUGGGAGGAAGAUCCUUACAAUCAACAUUAAUAUUGAUUAUAAGUGUCUCCUUACACGACAUUAAUGUUAAAAGUGUCACGUGAUUAUGGAAAAUGGUUAUAUGUUAAUUUGUACACAAUAUUAAUGUCAAAAUCAACAUUAAUAUUGAUUUGAUGUAAGGGUGGUUUUUAAAGGAUAUUUUGGUUGGCUAGGGAGUACGGAGAUGAUGACCCUAGAUUUCCACUUUGGGUGCUUGUAUCUAAAGAAAAAACCUAGGCCUAAAAGGUAGUUGGGUCUUAUAAGAUAGCGAACUCAUAAGUGGUUGGUUCUAGGAGGUAACCAAGCUCAAAGGAGUUGGAUCUAGUAAAGUACUGGACCCACAAAAGCUUGGGUCUAGCAUGUAGUUGAGCCCCAUGAGGUUGGGUCUAGUAAGAUACCAUACCCACAGGUGCUUGAGCCUAACAUGUAGCCAAGUCCAAAUGAGUUGAGUUUAGGAAGGUGUCAAACUAAUAUGCACUUGGGUUUGGCACGUAGCUGAGCCGGGAAAAAAUAGGUAUGGCAAGAUGUGAGACCCACAACUGUUUGGGCAUGUAUUCUAGCUCAAAAAGGAGGAGGGUGUUAUCUUUGCCAAAGCUUUUUAUCAUGGGCCUUGGCUUUUACUGCUUCUCCUUUCUCUUGGUCCAUUCUGUUUACAGGCUUUUGGGAAAAAGCCUUUAGUAUAAAAUACAUUUAUCCAUCAAAUAUUUUUCUCAUAUAUAAUGAUAGAAAACUCAGAAUUCAUAAAAAUUUUAAUGGUAAUAUUAAUAAUAGUUCCCUUUAUAAAUCUCACAUCCUCCAAGAAUAUUAUUUUAAUUAUACUUAUAAAAAAUUAUUAAAAAACAUUUAAAGACGGUCUUUCGACCAUGCACAAAAUAUAGUAAUUUUAUUUUCUAAUUAUUAAGCACUUAAUGAAUCCAUGAAAACAAUAGUAAAAAUAUUAAGUAAAUGAAUGACUUAUAAUACAUGGGUGAAGCUCCUAAUAAGAAAACUAGUAUAAAUGGUCUUGGCAUAACUAUUAUUGAAUUUUCUUUAUUUAAAACAUGAAAAAAAUUGAAAUUAAGAGUCAACCCUAACCUAUUGAAUGGGUGGAUAAAGAUAUAUUGACUCGAAUCUAAACAUAAUAAAAAUUUAAAACAAUUUAAGGUAGUAUUUGACAUAGCAAUCGGUAUGCUAAUUACUUAAUACCAAACACCAAAUAAUAUUAAGUAAUUAGCAUUACAAAAAAUAGCUUCAAAUUAUUUUUAUAUUUUUAAAUCGUUUUAAUAUUCUGAUAUUAAAAAUAAAUUUAAAAAAAUAAAAAAAAGUAUUUUAAUAUGUUUUCAAUUUUAAUACUAAUUAGUUACUCAUUAUUUUAUUUUUUAUUGUCGUUUUUUUUUUAAUUUUAGGAUAAGGGUAUUCUCAAUUAGCUUGUAAAUCAACCGAAAAUAACCCUUGAAAUUUAAUCUUAGUUGACACGCAGAUAGCCAAAUAACAAUCUAGUGAAAUUUGUAGCUGUCGGGAUUUGCACCAAGGGUUUCGAAUUUAAAUUUUGCGUGUCCCAUUGAUCACCUUGUUUUAUAUAUAUAUAUAUAUAUAAACAGUUCUAUUUUUAAAAUGCUGUUUUGUACGGUGUUAAAAACGGCGACAAAAAAUAGUAGGAUAUACUUGCACACAAUAUUUAAUGAAAUGAUACAGAAAAUGGAUGAGAAAUAUAGUCCAUAUUAUAACCCCUGAAUAAAGGAGAAAAAUCUAAAGGUUGAAAGUUGACGAAGUAAAAUAUAAAUUGAGAUCUACGCUAACAAGUAUGGAGAGAGAAUCAGCUCUAGUACUUUGUUAUUUGGAUAAGAAUACAAUGGGUACUUUGCCUCACGCCUUCUCGUUGUUCGCUCUAAUUUUGCUCUUGACAUCCGGUACAGGAGCCGAUCAAAGCACCAAGACACAGGCUAUUUUCAAAGGAAGUACUGGAAUAGGAGCUAUUGUGGAUACAAGUUCCCGUAUUGGCAAAGAAGAAAUAGUUGCCAUGGAAGUUGCAAAGGAGGAUUUCUAUGGCUUCGGAAAUCUAAUAUUUUUGCUUAUAAACGACUCUCAAAAGGAUACCAUCCAUGCAGCUCUUGAAGGUAACUAUAUGUUUUGCUUUUGAAAUAAGUAUCGUUUGCCUUAAAUUAAGAUAAAUCCAAGCUCACAUCUGUGCGUUGCUUAUACAGCUAAGGAUCUUAUCGACACACGACAAGUACAAGCCAUUAUAGGACCACAGACAUGGGAAGAGGUGUCAUUAGUUGCUGAGAUUGCCAGAGAAACACAGGUUCCAAUUCUUUCUUUUGCUGACACAGCUCCAGAAUGGGCGACUGGACGAUGGCCUUCUCUAGUUCAAGCUUCACCUGAUAAGCGUGCUCAAAUGAAAGCUGUAGCUGCUAUUGUGCAAUCGUGGAACUGGCAUCAGGUCAUUGUGAUAUAUGAAGAUACAGAUUCUUCAGCAAG
rnacentral:lncRNA from 1 species